rnacentral:lncRNA from 1 species
AGAAGAAGAAAGCUUGUGAAUUGGGUUCGGUGUGCGGUUUCAUUUAGAAAGACAGAAGAGAUAAAUCCAGCCGUAUACAGUACUUUUUAUUCCUAGUUUUUCCUCUGAUUAUCGAAAGUUAUUUUUCAACCUACUUUGUUUUAUAGGAGAUCAUAGCAUCUUUGUUGUUCAUUUUCUUUUAAUUUCAUUUGUUUUCUUCUGAUCACAGAAAGACAACUAGAUAAGAACAUCUUGAGUUUUCUUUCCUCUCCUGUUCCUUUUUUAAUUCUUCGUCACAUGUAAAGAAGAUAGGCUUGAUAAAAGAGUUUGGGCUCUCAAUCAUGUUCUUUUGUUAAGAUUGUGAGCAGGUUCUACCUAAUUUUCUCUAACAUAUCUCAAAUCUUUCCACGUAAUUUUGAUUCUCUAGAUCUCUUAGAUAUCCUUCUAUUCUGUGAAUCUUUUGAGUUUGAGGUAAAUCCAUCGGUAUACAGUACUUUUUACUCUUGUUUUUCCUCUGAUUAUCGAAACUUAUUUCUCAACUUACUUUGUUUUAUAGGAGAUUACAGAAUCUUUGUUGUUCAUUUUCUUUUAAUUUCAUUUGUUUUCUUCUGAUCGCAGAAAGAUAACUAGAUACGAAACAUCUUGAGUUUUCUUUCCUCUCCCGUCUUUUUUUUUUUAUUCUUCCGUAAUAUGUAAAGAAGAUUGGCUUGAUAAAAGAGUUUGGCUCUCAAUCAUGUUCAUUUGUUAAGAUUGUGAGCAGGUAAUACCUAAUUUUCUCUAACAUAUCUCAAAUCUUUCCACGUAAUUUUGAUUCCCUAGAUCUCUUAGAUCUCCUAUUCUGUGAAUCUUUUGCGUUUGAGAUAAAUCCAUCCGCAUACAGUACUUUUUAAUCCUUGUUUUUCCUCUCGAUACUUAUUUCUCAUCUUACUUUGUUUUAUAGGAUAUCAUAGAAUCUUUGUUGUUCAUUUCCUUUUAAUUUCAUUUGUUUUCUUCUCAUCGCAGAAAGAUAACUAGAUACGAAACAUCUUGAGUUUUCGUUCCUCUCCUGUCUUAUUUCUUUUAUCCUUCGUAAUAUGUAAAUAAGGUAGGCUUGGUAAAAGAGUUUGGGCUUUCAAUCAGGUUCAUUUGUUAAGACUGUGAUCAGGUUCUACCUAAUUUUCUCUAACAUAUCUCAAAUCUUUCAACGUAAUUUUGAUCCUCUAGAUCUCUUAGAUCUCCUUCUAUUCUGUGAAUCUUUUGAGUUUUUUUGUUGUGUAGUUCUAAAUAAAAACACAGAGUUUUUCAAAGGAAAAUAAAGGGGGGAAAAAAAAAUAUAAGAGAGUCGCUAUGGAACAUUCUCCUUUGAAUCCAACAAGAAUUGCCAACGUUAAUGGAAGAUCUAUGUUCAUAUCUUUUAAUUCUUCCCUUCCUUUGAGCCACCAUCACUUUUUGAAUGGAAGUUUGGGGCCAUUAGUGUCACAUCCUCCACCAUAUAAUUCUCUUCCAUGUUUUGCUUAUCCUUCUCUACGUCAGCCCGCCCUCCUUCCUCUCCCUGACACAAAAUCCACACAGAUUCUGUCGCCAGCCAAGAAGACUGCCACGACCACCAGAUUCAAUCAGCAACAGCAUCAGAGGAAGUCGAGGCCCUCGGCAAAGCCGAAGAACGGAAAAGCCACCAUCCUUGCAACGGACCAGAAAUCCAAGGCAGAAUCAUCGGAAGAAGAACAAGAGGAAAGGGAGGAUGUCGUGGAAUCGGUUUACUCGAUCUCGCCUCCGCCAAGCAGCCUUCCAUUGCCGAGAUUCUCUCUUCCAAGGCCGAAGUCUGCUGCCCCAGCCGCAUCCUGUGUCAUUGAGGCCGUGGAAGGUGGUGGCGGCAUUGACAUCGGCGCCACCAAUAGUCUCCGCCGCUUGCUCCGCCUUUAGGAGAGCAUGCUAGUUUCUUUUCUAUGUGUGAUUUUUGAUGUGUCCGUUGAAAUUUAAAUUUCCAUAGCUGGAAGAAAAUGAAAGGCUUAGCACUAAAUGAAUACCAAUCACAAUAAUGUAUGGACUUUAAAGAUGUGAACAGGUUUAACUAAACUUCUCGAUGUAAUUAGCAAGUCUCGGUUUGCAAAUUGUUGCGGGAUGGGCAUCGGGGGGCAUCGAGCCCGAAAGUCGCAUACCAGAAACAUACAAGAGAGCCUACUAUUUAUUAGUGUGAGUUCCUCCUCUCCCACGUGAGGCGCCUUUUGGGGGCAAAACCGUGAGGGGCGGAUGAUACCGGAUCAAAGGUUCGGAUCUCGUCCCAAAGCGGAUAAUACUUCACGAUUGGAUGAAGGAGAUGGUUCCGUACUAAGGGCAGUAGAUCUCAACAGAUGGCGCCGUCUGUGGCAAUCUGUCCCCUACCUGCAGCAGUACGCUCCCUUGCAGGGAAGACUGUUGCGGGAUGGGCAUCGGGAGCAUCGAGCCCGAAGACUAUAUGUGAUUAUCUGUAAAAACACAAUGACUAUGAUCACUAAUUAGUUUUUUCACGGAUGUAUAGUAAAGAAGAAGGGAUAUUUGCCCUCUAAAAUAAAGUUAAUUUAUGCUAUAUUAUUAUUAGUAUUGUUUUAUUUUUUUGCUAAGAUCGAUUCUAAUAUGAAUAUAUUCCUAAAAAAGAUAAAUUAUUUCAAAAAUGUUAAGUCGGGUCUACCUCACCAAAAUAUUUAUCCUCAGCUCCAUUUAUCUCACGAAAGAUGUGCCUCACAAAAAAUAAUGUAUCUUCUCUUGGCAAUCUCUAAAUACUUUACAAAUCCAUCCAAUCAUCAUAGGAGAGUCGCCCUCAACAUAUAUGAUAGUAGCCUUCAAUCCUGCUUUGGGGAUUAAGGUAUCAAAGAUUAGACUUCCUCCCUGCUGAAAGCCUGAAAUCCGGGCCUCUAUAUUUUUUUUCUUCAACAAAACAAUGAUCAAAACUCAUCCCUAUUUUAAGAGAGUAAAAUAAAUGAUAUGACCAAAUUAUAAUCAUACUGUGGCUGCCGCAUGGUGCCUCUGAUAAAGGUACCAGGCCAGUCCUUUUCAACGAAAGCAAUCCUAUCUGCCGGAACUCCUUGUCAUGUUGGUUGAUGUGCCAGAACUCCUUGUCAUGUUGGUUGAUGUGACAGAAGAUGAUGUGAUUAUUUUAAUGCCAGCCGUUUGAAAUGUAAAUGUAUUGCACUCAGUUACGCAAUCCAUGCUGCCAUGUAGAUCACUAAUGAAAUUUGUUGGAAACGUGUAAUGAAAAAAGUGAAUAAUGGGAAGAGUUGCGUUCUUAAAUCAGCAGGACAUGCUCUACUUAUCAGAAGCCACCUGUAAAGGUUGCAGGAUUCCUUUUGCAACUUCCAACUUCCCCUCUGAUAAUAUAAAGAAUUAAUUAAACUAAGAAAACUCAAUUUCUACAUUUAUGUUGGCAAAAAUUCACAGGCAGAGUUCCAAAUAUAGCCAAACACAAAAACUUCGAUUAAACAUGAACACGUGCGCGUCGUACAUGCGCGCAUAGAGAUGAAAUUUAAUGAACUAACCAACCACUUAUACUAUCCGAUACAGAAUAUAUCAAACUGUAUCAAUAUAACAUAUUAUCUACGAUACUAUCAUACUGUAUCAAAUCAUAUAUUAAUACCAUAAUAAAAUAUUAUCAAUAUAGGAUCUGGUACCAAAAUAGCAAACCAUGAUUAGAGAUAUUUUGAUUCUGCAUUGAUCGUUCUCACCCUUGUGAAAUCUAAAUACAAUAGCUGAACAUAUUCUAUCUAUUACAAUUAAAUCUCAUCUGACCAAGGAAAGAAAUCUCUAUAAUCCUCAGGAGGCAUCUCCCUCUCAUUUAAAGCAUGAAUCUCAGCAGCGUCCCCUCUUUUCGUUUUAUGCACACUCAAGAGUUCCAUUCCAUAAUUUAAAUAGGUGAGGAAAGUGAGAGAAUUGAUAAACAGACCUAGUCAAAAACACAGCUUCUAAAUAAGAUAAAUUAUUCCAAAUCAUUCAAAGGAGCUUUACAAUGAAUUCAGAACAUUAUUGGCACCCCUAAAACAAUAAUUUGCCUAAAACGUAAAUCCCAGAUCAUGUUGGUACAAAAAGAACUUGUCUUGAAUUUUCAGCUCAAAGCUUCAGCUCUUGCAAAAGGCAUGAAGAGUGUCAUCAAGGGCCUUCCUGUCGUAAUUGCCAGUGAAAACACAAUUGCCUAGAGGUCCUUUAAGAAGGAUGAGCCUUAGCAAUCCAUCAGCCACCUUUUUAUCAACCUACAACCCUCGUGGAUCCAAAUUUUAUGAUUAAGAAUUGCCAGAAGAAUCAUUUUGUCUCUCAAAAGAAUUUCCAUUAGAAAUGGAGAAGAAUAUCUAUCACUUACCGCCAUAGCAGUUUUAAAUUUCUCCACUGUCAUCAUCUCAGGUGGUGUUGUUGGAAGCUUAGCCUGCCGUAGGAUGUUAAGGACCCGCUUUACUAUUGUAUCAUCAAUCCAGCCUAGGCGAUGGGACAUGUCAACUGCCAUCACCUACAAAUGAAAACCAAACAACUUAAUUUAACACAACUGCUUUACUGCUUUACAAUAAUAAGAAUCAAAGAGCAGUGUCUGUCUCACCAUUCCAGCCGCAACAGCUUCCCCAUGGAGCCACUGUCCAUAGCCAAAGCCUGUCUCAAUAGCCUAAAAUGAGAAAUAUCAACAUGAGAAUGUCAUGCAUCUUAAUAAAUAACAUUGGAAGUUGCACAACAUGAAGGUUAAAGCAUGAAAGUGAAAGAGGAACAAACUUUAUUAAAUAAAAGCAUAAUCAUUUCUCAGUUACAUGUGGUCAGUAAACCUUCAAACGAAAAGGACAAUCAAAGUUGCAGAAUAUGAGCACUUAAUUAAAAGAAAAAACUUCCCAGAUAUUUGGGUCAGUGGGAACAUAUAAGACUUCAACAACCCUUAGAAAGAUACUGUACGUCUUUUUGAUAAAAAGCCAUGAUUUAGAGUUUCAAUCUGCACCAUGAAGAGCAAGCUUUGAAGUUUGAAUUGUAGAUCUGGGGAGAUGGACUAAUUAGUACACAACCACUGGGUGAAAUGGUUUCUUUCAAAGUUAUAUCCAACACGAGCAGUGCUAGUCUAACACAAAUCUCAACACAAUAAAGUUACACGGCUAAUGUGUGAUGCUACUGUUGCAUCCUUUAUAGCUGGCGCCAUGGUUGCCAGACUGAGAAGCAAGAGGAAGUUAUAUAUCGGCUGCACACCUUUAAAAUAUGAUAUUUGUGUUACCAAACCAUCAUCCAUUAAAUAUCAAUAUGCCCUACCAAUUGUGAAGGCAGGUCUUUUUUUCUGUUCCUAUGGGUUUCAGACCAGCCCACUCCAAAACCACUCCUAGAUACUUAUGAAUAUAGGCCUGGCCCAACCGGAAAUCCUAUUAUCCAACAGACUGUACCGGCCCUAUCCAUGAAUUGAAUGGAAUUUUCAGCCCAAUCAUCCAAACAUGCCCUAAGUAUUUCACAAUAUCAACUAAGAAGUGUUUCUACAUGGCGCAAAAGUCAAAAAGCACCUUUGAGAGAAGGUACAAAAACUAAAUUCUGGCUUCUUCUAUGAGAAUGUCCCACGUCUUUCAAAUAUGGUAGGCCCAUCUACAAAAGGUAGUUAUACAAAUGUGAUUGGCAAACACCAAAUACAACAAGUACUCCUUAGGUAAGAACCUAAAUGAAUCUAAUUUUCGAAAAUGACCCCUUUUUCUUUGGUACAGAAGCAACGCCAAACACACCCUAAAUCAGUUUGAUGGAUGAUUCAUGUCCACCAGUGUGUAUUGCAUAAACUAAAAACCUGUUCUACUAAUAUCAUAUUUUCUGCAAAGCACAAUAUCACAAUCCAUUUUCAGCUCAUAUUAUGACACUGUUUAGAGUUGUCAUAUUGACUUCUUCACUUUGACUGCAACAGACUGAAGAUUCAGUUAUAUAUUUUAAUAAUGAAAGAAAAUUAUAAAAUUAGUGGAGCAGCUUUCAUCUAUGAACACACCUAAUUGCCAUAUAAUUUGUAAAGCUUAUGCAGCUUUUGUUAGAGAAAAGCAUAUAUUAAUCAGUAUAAUUAGUAGUAAAUACUUUAGAGGGAAACUUCAGAGCAAGGUUUAAAGCAUUGGUAUUGCAACCUUGGUUGUGCCUACAUACCAGCAUAUAGGACACCUUCUGCUUCUGGCAUGGAAAAGGAUGAGGCUGCUGCACAUAUGUUGCGUAGUAUCGGUACAAGAGGCAUACCAGUACUAAUUCCUUAUCAAUAUGAUCUGAUAUUGGCCGGUACAGGCAGGUACUCAAAUCCUUGCUUUAGAGAGGCUGCUUUUAACAAUGAAUUAGCAUAAUGGUAAAUGGUCAAGCAGCAACAACCAUAUACCAAGAGCCUGCUCCCACAUCUUGACAAAUAACAAGAAGAUUAAUAAAUACACAUUUUUGACCUUCUAUGACACCAGUGGAUCAGGACAAAUAGAUCCAUAUACCAGCAUCAGAUUUGGGUGGCGCCGAGUAAUUGCUAAGACUUCAAAAUGAGCUUGGUUAUCUUCUUGAUAACUGGCUAAUAUUUUAUUUAAAAAAGUGAUAUUACGUUACAGGCUUGGAAUCUAAAAUAAAAAAUAUGAAAGAAGAAGCCAUAUUUCAAGUGUCCUCAACAUUAGAGGUCAAACUAUUUCCGCACCUCCUUCCAAGCCCUCAGAUGUAGCAUUUCUUGAUUUACCCUCCAUAAUUACUUUAUUACAUGGCAUGACUUUAUUAUGAAGAAAGUUACAUCCUCGUUUUCCUCAUUACAAUUUUUUUUAAGCAACAAGUGAAAAAAAAGGUUUAAUUAUCAAGGUAAAGUAAAAAUUGAUUAAAACUUGAAUGAUAUUGUCAGUCUGAAGGGGCUGCAGUUGGUUGAAUAUGAUCAGAGUCACUUAGGGAACAUGUUCAAGUCCAACAUUAGGUGGAAACUUCUGGAGUUUGACACGUUGUGGCCAGGUUUCAAACAAAACAAGUUAAGCCUAUAAAUUGUUUUUUAAGCUAAAAUAACAAAAAAAUAAAUAAAAGAAAGACAAGCUCAACCGACAUUUUGUAUUUGAACAGGCUUGAGCCCAAAUAUACCAAGUUUGAACUCUAUACACUUUAACCCAAUCAGCAGUCAGCCUAGACUCAUAAAUGUUAAUUCUAUGAAGCCCUAUCAGAUUUCAUUUCACUAAGUUUAAUUCAACCCAUGAAAAAUUAAUUUGUGAAACAGGCUUCCCAUUUUCCUCACUUAAAAUUAAAAAAAACGAAAAUGCAGGAGAAAAUUAAAAGGAAUUGGCUAGAAAGCACUGAGCCAAGGAAAAGUUUUUAAUUUAAAAAAAAAAAGCAAACCACCCACUUAAAUACUAUCUUAACUUGUAAUAGUAUGUCCUCAAGGGCUGCACUCACCUCUGUCUUAUAAUACCUCCUCUGUUAUGCUUUAUAGGCAUCAAGAUUUACUACCCCUUUUCUCUCCACCUACCUUGGAUGGACACAUCUCCAUAUUUAUUUCUUCUAAAGAUACCAUGGCUGAACUAUUUCUCAGAGCAGCCCUAUAUGAGACAAUGAACUCCAAAAAUUCUACCCACGUCCCAAUUGAACGAAAAACAGUACAACAUUAUAUGAAAUAAUAGAAUAUGCAGUGUCACUCAGAAGCUCACCAUAAGUUAUCUAAAUUACCACAAAGUCUCCCUAACAAGAAACAAUUAGACAACACAUGUAGGUAUAUGUCCACUUUGGUCACCCUACCCUAAUCCCAUAAGAUACAAUCUUAUCUAUAUUUGUGUUCUCCUGAGCAGUCCAAAUCAUGAAAGUAAGUACCAAGGAAUCUCCUGUCCAUCACUUACCCCAUUAAAGUCUUUGCACAAAAUCCAUAUAAUAUAUGCUUUUGUAUCUUUUCUCCAAUUUGACAUAGACCAAGAAGGUUAGGGCUGCUUGAGGUUUAUUUGCCGAGGAAAGAAAAGAUCCAUAUUUAGGUAUGAUAUAUAAUUCCAAUUUCUGUUAAUAGUGAAAGUAAUUGACAGAAACACAGCAAAGGAAGGGGAAAAAUGGAAAAGUAAUUAACAGAAUACUGCCAGUUUAACUAGCUUGACAUGUUAAGUAACAUAUAUUGAAGCAUAUGUUCAUUGGACAGAAUUAAGCAUAAUCUACUAGAUUCUGGAAAUGCAAAUUUAGCACAUGAAAUGACAUAUGAACAGCCAGAAAUAAAAAAAUGAGCAUAAGGUGAACAAGUAAACGAAACAAAAGAUCCAUAGAACAUUGGUGGGCAACUAAACACUCACAUGACCAAAUGUAUGACCCAAGUUCAAGGUUGCCCGCAAUCCACUUUCCUUCUCAUCCAAAGCAACGACUUCAGCUUUGUUUUCACAUGAUCGCUUGAUAGCAUAUGCUAAGGCACUUGGGUCUCUGCAACAAUCAUGUAUAUAUAAGAACUAACGAAUAAAUGAAGUUCAUUAUUAUUGAAAUAGAUGCACAGAAAAGUCUACUUACGCAACAUAACUUCUUUUCAGCCUUUCUAGUUCUGUUGAUUGACAAAUGCUGAAAUUUAAACUGAUGGAAAGGGCUAGUGGAAAGAUUUUAUAGUAUCAAGAUAGAUAAAGCAUGAUUUGCUAUAAUCAAUCCUGCUUGGCAUACAACAAUUUUUUAAAAAAAGAAAAGUAACUUUGACAAAGGUUUCACAGCAAACGUGACAAAUAUGCAAGAUUUGACUGGUUGUAGAAGAUGAAAUUGAAAGUUUCAGAACUGAGAAAAAUAGUUAUAUUGGUAACGAAAGAUAUGUCAGAAUGUGAACAGCCUGUGAUGUUUAUCUUGUGAAAAUGCUCCUAACUGGCAAAGGAGAAGAUACUCAGUGGCUAUCCUAGCUUGUUUGUCAAUUUAUUUCACAUGCUUUUUUGAACCUAAAGGGGGUUAUAUACAGUAUUAAAAAGCUUAAGGCACACUUCCACAAGGCAAUUCCAAUGACCACACAUUCUAUCAAACAACAUUCAUGAUGGUUUGGCUUCCCUAAAAGAUCUUUAAAGUUUAAGCUUUUGGAGUAAGAGCUUUUCAUAAUGUCUUACGACAGAACUGUCACUCCUGAAUUUACAUGGAAGUCAAAUAAACCUCCACUAGGUCCAAUGGAUUUAACUGUUGUAGAAAAGAGUUUGCUGAAGUUUGAUAUCUUUUAAAGCAAAGUUUGAAUUAUGUUUGUGGAUAUUUUUUAGGUUGGCUCUGAAAUUUUGUUUGAUGGGUAUUGAUACACAAGCAUGUCCUAGAUAAUCACAUUCUCAUAGGUCAUAAAUCAUAACUUCUAACAUUGACUGGUGGGAACAAUGUUCAAAAAGGUGAUGAUGGUAUGCGAGCACCGCAGAAACUGGAGACUAGUUGUAAAGGUAUUGUUCUUCAUGUCUCGUUCAUCAACAAGGAUCAAGCUAGUCUAGGGAUCUAUAGUAAAAUGUAAUUCAAGUGAAGCUAAAUUGGGCAAAGUCACAAAACUAUUGCAUUUCAAGGACUUGAAGUAGUUUUUGUUGAUAUUUCAAUUAUGUCUCACAACACAUUGAAAUAAUUAGGCAUAGAAGGUGAACAUGCAUGACAGCAACGCAUAAAAGUUGUAUAGAAGUAGAAUAAUCACCAGAUAAUAUCUUCAUGAUGGGAUUAUCUUUGCUUUUCUAGUUUGUGCUCUAUCCCUUUGACUGUAACACUGUAUGUGUAACUCCAUUUCUGGAUCCAGACUAUUUACCAAAUAUAAAUCAGAAAAUGGUAUGAAGGAAAAUUUAAUGUUGGAGAUAAGUCAGCACCCAUCGCAAAGCAUCUUAACUUAUUCUAGUUUGCAAGCAUCACUACUCAUUUGCAAUAAACAUAAUAUAUUUAUUUUAUAAUCAUACCUUGCUAGCAGUGCCUGUACGUUCUUUUCUUGCCACUCAAAAAACUCUGCAUCUCUGAUGAGCCCAUACUUCACAACUUCUGCUAUACCCGAAGCCAGUUCCCGAUCAGGCAAUGUAUUUAGAGUGUCCGUGUCUAUAAGUACAGACUGUGGUUGGUAGAAGGCACCAAUCAAGUUUUUCCCCAAUGGAUGGUUUAUUCCAGUUUUCCCCCCAACUGAUGAAUCCACCUAGAUUACAAAAGCAUCAAUUUUCUCUGAUAUUAUCCACUUAAAAGUAAAUAAUUACUUCAGCAUACAGACUAAAUCCCAGAGUACCUGAGCCAUUAGAGUAGUUGGAAUCUGAAUGAAAUUAACCCCACGAAGAAAAGCAGCAGCAGCAAAACCACACAUAUCACCGAUGACUCCACCACCCAGUGCCACAAAGGUACAACGCCGAUCCAUCCUGGACUCUAUGGCCUUAUCAAAGACUUUCAUCAAUGUUUCCUAGAGGAACCCCACGAAGAACUGGUUUACAAUACUUAUAUCGCAACCCAAACGAUCAAAAGACAAAAGGAGAGGUUUUUCCAAUAGACCAACCAUGUUCUUGUAUGCUUCCCCGUCAGGUAAGAUCACACUCUCAACGGAAAUGUUGGAAUUCCCAUGAGUCAACGCUUUGAUAACUUUGUCAAGGUACAGUGGCGCAAUCGUGGUGUUAGUUACCACCAGAACCCGCUUUCCAUGUACAUGCCUAAUUCAGGGGGCAAACUUCGGAUAUCAUCUAAGAGAACAAUAAUCCGACAAUCCAGGCGAGGAAAACAGACAAAAGAUCGGAUUAAGCGAGACGAGUACCUCUGGAGAAGAUCGGGUUCGUCGAGCAGGCCGGAGCCGAUGUAGAUCGGGUAACUCCGGUUGCCAAGAUCGACCUCCACGAUCGUGGACACCUUGGAAUCCGCCUUCCACGGCACCUCCUCCAUCACCGGAGAGGUGCUCGCGGAGAUCCUCAAGCGCUUCCGAGCGAACCGCAGGGAGAUCGACGACGAAGCGAGGAAGGGGAGGUCCAACUCGCCGCGGCGGAGAAGGAGGACAGCACGGUGGCCGGAGACCGACCCGGGAAGGCGGGUGGCGGCGGGAAGCUUGGGGAACGAACGGAGAGUGAUCGAAGAAGUGGAUACCGCCAUGGAUCAGAAAUUGGGUUAGGAUUUGGGGGAGAGGACGGGAAAGGGGUUGCAGAUGGCCUCCGUCGUCGUCGGCGCCCACCAUCGCUUCUCUCUUGGCUGGGCCGGGGCUGGGUUGGUGGAUGGAGGUGGGUUGGUAGCGCACAUGGGCGCGCGUGAAGAUUCCGCACGUGCGGGGAACGGCCAUGUUACGCAUGCGAAAAAAUUCAAAAAAAAAAAAUCAAAAAAAGAAAAGAAAAAAAGAAACAGAUGUUAUGAAUAUUAUGUUUGUGGAUAUCCUUUGGCAUCCUUCAACUCCCAAAUCCAUAACAUCCCAUGUAUUUAAUUUUUCUCUUUAUUUUUAAUUUAUUAUAAAUACAACUACUUAUAAACAUGAGCCUAUAAAUAGAGAUCAUAUAAUUCAUAAUGCAUGCACUUGAAAAUAAAAUAAAAAAAGCUUCUCUAUUUCUCUCAUCCUCUUUAUCUUUAAUUUCAAUUUACUUUUUUAGUUAUAUUUUAUAGCACAUUAUCAGCAUGAUGCUCGAAUUUGUUAAAUUUUGAUAUUAUCUUUUCAUCGCUUCUAUAAGUAGAGCUCUAUUUCUUCAGAUAAUUUUAAUUUCAUUAAAUUCUUUGGUACAAACUUAUUAUAGUAGUAGAUGUAUACGUUUAAAUUAUAAUUUUUGCUUCAUGUCCAUCAAAAAUUUUUGUCUCUUAAUUAUAUAUAAUAAUAUUCAAAAUUAUUAAAAUAAUCUUUAUUUGAUGAAAGGUAAGUUGGAAAGUUAACCAUCUUUCAAAAAAAAAGAAUGCAUUAUCUAUUAAUUUGUUAAUACUUGCAUUCAUUUUUUAUUAUAUGUUGAUUAAUAAUUUCAUAAUUAUUAAAUCAUUAUUAUAUUGAAUAUUUAUUUUUUUAAUUUAUUUGCUAUAUCCUAUGAUAGUUUUCAUCAUGUCAAAUUUUGCAAAGCUUGAAUUUGUGACUCUUGAUAUUAUGGACAAGAAUUAUCUAUCAUGGAUACUAGAUGCUAAAAUUCAUCUUCAUGCUAUGGGUCUUGGAGACACAAUUAAAGAAGCAAAUAAAGUAUCCAAUUAGGAUAAGGUCAAAACGAUGAUUUUUCUUCAUCACUAUCUUCAUGAAGGAUUAAAAUCUGAGUAUCUUAUGGUAAAAGAUCUACUUGAUCUUUAGAAAAAUUUAAAGGAAAAAUAUGACCAUCAGAAAAUAGUGAUUCUUCUAAAAGCUCAUUAUGACUAGAUACACUUAUGAUUCUAGGAUUUUAAAACUGUCAGUAUAAUUCAUCGAUAUUUAGAAUCGUUUACAAUUGAAAUUGUGUGGAGAAAAUAUUGCUGAUGAGAAUAUGUUAGAGAAAAUAUUCUUUACUUUUCAUGUCACAAAUGUGCUCCUGCAAUAGCAAUAUCAUAAAAAGGGUUUUACGAAAUACUCUAAAUUGAUUACAUGUCAUCUUGUAGCUGAACAAAAUAAUAAGCUAUUAAUGAAAAAUUAUGAAGCCCGCCUAAUUGAUUUUGCUCUAUUCCCUCAAGUGAAUGUGACAAUAUUUAAUAAUUUUGGGCAUGGGCGAGGUCAUAGCCGUGGUCGUGGAUGCGAUCAAGGUUGCAAUAAAUAUCGUAAUCAUGGUCGCUAUAGUAAUAAUUUUUUCAAUUAUAAAAAUAUUUCUUACCAUCAAAAGUGGCAGAAUAGUGAAGAGAAAAAAAAAAUAAUAAAAAUGGAUAGAAAAAAAUGGAAUACAAAAAGUUUAUGUUAUCGUUGUGGCAUGAAAAGCCAUUGAGCACGUAUCUAUCGUGCAUCGAAAUAUCUUGUUGAACUUUAUCAAGAAUCACCGAAAGAUACGGGAAAAAAAUAUAGAGACAAAUUUUGCGCAUCAAGAUGAUUUCGGCCAUGGCCAUGUUGAUAUAACACAUUUGGAUGUUGAAACACAUGGCCAUGUUUUCUUCUAGAUUGUACUAUACGAAUAUUAGUAUGAUUAAAACACAUGCUACAGUAAACCAGAUGUUUGCUGAUCAAAUAAUUUUAUUGUUUGGCAUGAUCAGUUGGGCUAUCUCGGAUCAAUAAUGACGCAAAAAAUCAUUGAGAAUUCACAUGGACAUCCACUAAAGAAUCAGAAGAUUCUUCAAUCUAAUAAAUUCUCAUGUGCUAUUUGUUCUCAAGGCAAAUUAAUUAUUAGACCAUCACCGGCUAAAGUUGGGAUUGAAUCCCCCGCAUAUCUGGAAUAUAUUCAAGGGGAAAUAUGUGGACCCAUAAAUCCAUCAUGCGGACCAUUUAGAUAUAUUAGGAUUUUAAUCGAUGCAUCGACAAGAUGGACACAUGUGUGUUUAUUAUCAACUUGCAACUUGGCGUUUACGAGAUUGCUUGCACAAAUAAUUUGAUUACGAGCACAUUUUCCAAAUUAUGCAAUUAAAACAAUUCGUCUUGACAAUGCUGGUGAAUUUACAUCUCAAACUUUUAAUGAUUAUUGUAUGUCACAAUUGGAAUAACCAUUGAACAGCCUGUUGCACAUGUUCAUAUACAAAACGGUUUAGCUGAAUCAUUCAUUAAACGCCUUCAGUUAAUUGCUAGACCAUUACUUAUGAGAACUAAACUCUCCAUUUCUAUUUGAAGACAUGCUAUUUUACAUGCAGCAGCACUUGUACGCAUCAAGCCAACAAGUUAUUAUAAGUUCUCCCCUUUACAAUUGAUUUUUGGUCAGAAAUCAAAUAUUUCCCAUCUAAAAAUUUUUGGAUAUACGGUAUAUGUUCCAAUUGCUCCACCACAAUGCACUAAGAUGGGUCCUCAAAAGAGGCUGAGAAUAUAUGUUGGAUAUGAAUUUUCAUCUAUAAUUAAAUAUCUAGAGCCAUUGACAGGAGAUUUAUUUAUAUGCAGAUUGUCAUUUUGAUGAAUCAAUUUUCUCAGCAUUAGGGGGAGAGAAUAGGCAGCUGAAAAAAAAUUAUGUGGAGUGCAUUAUCAUUAUCUCGUUUUGAUCCCCGCAUAAAGCCAUGUGAACAAGAAGUUUAAAAGAUAAUUUAUUUACAAAAUAUAGCAAAUCAAUUGUCAAACGUAUUUACUAACCCAAAGAGAGUAACUAAAUCAUAUAUAUAUAUAUAUAUAUAUAUAUAUAUAUAUAUAUAUAUAUAUAUAUAUAUAUAUAUAUAUAUAUAUAUAUAUAUAUAUAUAUNNNNNNNNNNNNNNNNNNNNUAUAUAUAUAUAUAUAUAUAUAUAUAUAUAUAUAUAUAUAUAUAUAUACAUACCAGCUGCGAAUGCUUCAAUUAGAAUUAGGACAAUCUACUAGUGCUUAUGAGUCUAAGGCAUGCCUGAAGCAUGGUAGACCAAUCAAUUAUAAAGAUAAAAAUGUUCAAAAAAGAAAAAGAGUAAAUAAUCAAGAUGAUCGGAUUGAAAAGGUAGUAACUCCUGAAGAGACUCUAGACCAAACUAAUUAUAAAAUUUUAGAAGAAAUUCAGAUACCUGAAAUUAGUGAAAAUACAGAGAUCUCAAUAAAUUAUGUCACGAUAGGAAAACGAUGGAACUAAAAUAAAAUAAACAUCGACGAUAUUUUUGCAUAUAAUGUAGUGCUUAAUGUUAUAGAAAAUAAUGAAGAUCUUGAACCUAAAUCUAUCAAAGAAUGUAGGCAUAGAAAUAAUUCGCCGAAAUGGAAAGAUGCAAUCGAGAUGGAAUUAAAUUCACUUGCAAAACAUAAAGUUUUUGAACCUGUAGUCUGUACGCCAGAUGGUAUAAAGUCAGUGGGAUACAAAUGGGUAUUUGUGCAAAAAUGGAAUGAAAAAAAUGAAAUCAUGAGAUAGAAAGCAUGACUUAUUACACAAGGAUUUUCGCAAAGACCUGGCAUUGAUUAUGAAGAGACAUAUUCUUUCAUAGUGGAUGCAAUUAUAUUUCGAUAUCUAAUUAGUCUGACAAUACAUGAAAAACUUGAUAUGCAUCUAAUGGAUGUAGUUACAACCUAUUUAUAAGGCUCACUUGAUAAUGACGUCUAUAUGAAAAUCUCUGAAGGGUUUAAGUUGCCUGAAGCACAUAAUUUAAAUUCUCAAGAAAUUUAUUCAAUUAGAUUAUAUAAAUUUUUAUAUAGAUUAAAGCAAUUUGUAUUAGAAUUUUGUGUCGGGACAUGCAUAUAUGUUUCAAAAAUUUUUUUCUAAACAACGCAGCAGAAUAGAAGAUUAUAAUACUUUUUAAUCUACAUCAUGCAUGCAUAAAACAUAGAACACUAGGAUCUACUUCAAAUGUUGAAAUUGAAUACAUACUAAAUUUUAUGCUGAAAUUGAAUAUAUCAUCGGAUCAUAACCUAUUUUGUAAAUCCUUUCUUCAAAUUUGGAUCUAGAAAAGAGUAGGUUCUUCCUUAGCCACACAAGUAUCCGGUCUUUACAGGUAUCCAUUCAUGAUCAGCCUGAAACAGUCUUCUUUGGUAUUGAUUUUUUUCUUUAAGAAAAAUCAGUCUGCGAAUCUGAAUAAAACUUGGAUCACGAUCAACUCUUUGAUCCUAUCCUUGAUCUUCUUCUUCUCUUUUUCUCUUGCUUUUCUUCCCUUGAUUAAGGUCUGAAAACCAGCAAGCAAAGGGGUGCCCAAAUACCUUUUAGGUGUGGAGAAGUGGGACACCCAAACUCCUUGGGCGUUGGAUCUUCAAGGGAGAAGAGAGGGAGAAGAGAGAGGGGCGUGGGGACCUUCUAAGGGAGACUUGGGGUGCUAAAAUUCUGUGCUUAGGAGCCUUAGGGAAGGCCCCUAAGAUUUUAAAUCAUAUUCAAAAUGAAACAAUCACUUAAUACAAGUCUUACUUGCAUUAGAAAUUCUUAUUCCUUUAGUUAUUUGAUCUCCCUUAGGCAAUCUUUUUGGUGCCAAUUAUUUAAACCCUUGCACCCACAAAUACACAUGCCACAUGGGGCCUAGGGGAUGCCUCAUACUAGUCCCACACGUUCUUUAAUGGGUGGGCAUGCCUAACUUGAUCAAAUCAAGUGGCGUCCAAUCAAAACUAUUAAGAAAAUUGAUUAAGGAUUUGAAUCCUUAAUUCAUUUGAUCCAAAAUACUAGGCACCCAACAAUUGGAGUCCAAUGAAUCUAAUUCAUUUAGAUUAUUAGUAGGUAAUUAAACUUGAAUUAAUCUUAUCAAAUAAAAAAUUCAAAUGCAAAAAAAAAAAUUGGGUUCAACCAUGUACUAGUAAGGUUACCCUAAACUCAAUAGGAUUUCUCUAAAUCCAAUUGAGACUUCAUAAGUUCAAUUGCUUAUUCCAUAUCUAAUCUCUUUGUUGUGNNNNNNNNNNNNNNNNNNNNGGUCCAAAAAGUUCAACUCUAACUCAUCAUAGAUUAUCGAUUAUAAACAACCCUAGUGAGCUCUCACAAUCUAUCAGUGACACCUAGCAGUAUGUAGUGGUAAUUCAGUAGAACUGAAAAAGAACCUCAAGGUGUAGUUCAUAUGUGAUUCAGUCCCUCUAUCAUGAGUUUUGACUAGAUGGCAGGUCAUGAAUAAAUCGUCAAACCUCAUCAUCAGUCAGAUAAUAGAUUCGAUCAGCUCAAAUCCAAUUACGAUCCUCAUAAAAACUCUUUUCUAUCAAUCACACUGCUAUGACCAUGAACUUUCAGACUUAGCUUCUCAAAUCCCAUAGGACUACUCCUCUCUAUCAAGAUCAAUAGAUUUCAUCUAGAUACGUAUCUUACUUCUAUAGUGGAUCAACUAUAGUUAAUGUUCACUACAAAGACUCAUUGAGACCAUGUCUAUGUGUCGGUCAAACUCCAGCUGUCUCACUACGAGCAGUCGUAGCAUCGUAGGUCAAAAGAUCAUUUACACAACUACAGCAUCGCGACAAUCACUAACGAUCGAGUAGAAAUCUAAGUGAUCUCUCAUAUAAUCAUGCUCAGUACUAGUUGUUCUCUAAUAACUAUCCAUAUUCGUCGCUCAAUAUGUCUACACUAUAAAUCAGAGACUCAUCCAUCUCGAAGGAAGUGAUCUAUACACCGAUCUAUCUGGAUCAAUCACCAUUCUUAUGAUGAUACUAUAAUCAGAAGUAUUUAGAAAUUAUAUACAUGUCUCUAGUUCUCAACACCUUGAGAAUAUGUAUCGAAAUAUUAAUUUCAUGGACGAUUCAAAGACACAUCAUCCUUGAAUGAAAAUAAACUUGUUCUUUUAUUGAUCAAAUCAAUGAAUUAAGUAUAAAAUUAUGCUCUAAAUUUAUUACAAUGCGUCAGCCAUAUUAACUUCUAGGACAUACAUCUAACAAUCUCCCACUUGGACUAAAGUCAAGUGGCCACUAAUCUAAGUCUCAUCUUCUCAAAGUGGACUUCCAUCUUUAGCUGGCUCAAUUACUUUGUCAGCAAAUCUACCACGUUGUUCAUGGAGUCUACUCUUUGUACCUCGACAUAUUUUUUUUGAGGAGUCACAUAUGAUAUGGUAUCACCGCUCGAUGUGUUUUGAUUUUUGAUGAGACCUGGACUCCUUAGCAAAGGCUAUGAUGUCGUUGUCUUUAUAGUACAUUGUCAUAACAUCUAAUGGUAUGACGUUCAGUUCUGCAACUAACAUUAAAAUCAGAUUUCAUCCUAUACAUCUAUUGCGUACUCAACUUCCAUUGAUCAGUUGUUUAGAACCUUUCCAACAUACCAAACCAACAUUGCAUAAGAAUACACCAUGAUGUAGAUAUUUUAUCAUCAGCAUCUGUGUAUCCUCCCACUCCUAACUCUGUCUAUUCUCUAAAGAUCAGGAAUAGAUCCUUAGUACUUCUUAAGUACUUAAGAAUAUUUUUUACAGUUAUCUAGUGCUCCUCGUCUGGAUUUGACUGAUAUCUGCUUGUGACACUCACAGCAAAGACAAUAUUAGGUCGAGUAUACAGCAUGGCAUACAUGAGGCUCUCUAUGACUGAGAUAUAAGAAAUCCUACUCAUACGCUAAACUUCUUCAGAUGUGAUCGGACACAUCAUCUUGAAAAGAUAAAUACCAUGCCUAAGAGGUAAAAGUCUUCUUUUAGAAUUUUUCAUACUAAACCUCUUUAGCAUUUUCUCUAUAUACAGCUUUUGUGACAGAUCUAGCAUCUUCUUAGAUCUAUCUCUAUAGACCUUUAUUCUAAAAAUAUAGGAUACUUCCUCUAGGUCUUUCAUGAAGAAUUUCUUGGACAAUCAUCUUUUGAAUAUGGUCAGCAUGGGAACAUCAUUUUCAAUGAGGAGAAUAUCAUUACGUACAAUACGAGAAAUAUUAUUGUGCUCCCACUGACCUUUUCAUAUACACAAGGUUCCUCUUCGUUCUUGAUAAAAUCAAAUGAUUUGAUUGCAUCAUCAAAAUGAAGAUUCUAACUUCGAGAAGCUUGCUUUAAUCCGUAUAUGGAUCUUUAUAGCUUACAGACUCUGUGAUCACCAUCAUCAGAUGUGAAACCCAAAGGUUGCUCCACAUAGAUAUCUUCCUCAAGAUAUCCAUUCAGAAAAACAGUUUUCACAUCCAUCUGUUAGAUUUCAUAAUUAUAAUAAGCUGUGCGGAUGAAUGACUACGGACGAGAAAGUUUUUUGAUAGUCAAUGCCCUCGCACUGACUAUAAUCUUUUACUACGAGCCUAGCUUUAUAGGUCUCUAUCUUACCAUUGGCACCUAUUUUUUUUUAUAGAUCUAUUUACACCCAAUGGAUACUAUACCAUUAGGUGGAUCCAUUAAGAUCCAUAUUUGAUUCGAGUGUAUCGAGUUAAUCUCUGAUUUUAUUGUAUGUAACUAUUUUUCAAAAUUGAUGUCAGACAUCACCUCAUCAAAGAUAUUGGGAUCAUCACCAUGAUCCUUCUCUCUCAUAUGAAAUAUUUUCUUAACUUCCUUCGUAGGUAUACCCAUGCACCUUUCAGAAGGUCGGAAGAUCCUGCUAGAUCUAUAAGGUGGAGGUAGAACAUUAACUACUAACUCAUGAAUAAUAAAUUCCUGAGGAUCCAUAACUUUUUGCUCUUUAGAGACCUUCUCUUCGAGCUCAACUAACCUCCCACUGCCACCAUCCUGCAUAAAUUAUUUUUUUAAGAAAAUGAUAUUUCGACUCACAAUCAUAUUGUUAUCUUUUGAAAAGUAGUAGUAUCACAUUGAUUCUUUUGGAUAUCUUAUAAAAUGAGCUAUUACAGAUCUAUCCUUUAAUUUAUUAGCCAUCUAUCUCUUGACAUGGCCGAACAUCCCUAAGUCUUUAGAUAACCCAGACUUGGCUUCUUCCCAUAUCAUAUCUUAUAUGGUAUGGUAGGAACAGAUUUUGAUGGAAUCCUAUUCAAUAGGUGAAUUACAGUUAUUAAGGUACAUCUCCAAAGAUAUAAAGAUAAAUCAGUGAAGCUCAUCAUGAACCUGACCAUAUCUAAUAGGAUCCUAUUCCUUCUUUCGGAUACCUCGUUGAACUGAGGUAUUUCGAGAGAAGUCUAUUGAGAGACUAUACCGUUGUCUUUAAGAUAUUUCAAAAAUUUUUUACUAGGGUAUUUACUUUCUCGAUCAGAUCGAAAAAUCUUAAUGGGUUUGCCUAUUUAUUUUUCUACUUCAUUUUUGAAUUUCUUGAACCUUUCAAAGGCUUCAAACUUAUGUUUUAUCAGAUACAUAUAUCCGUUUCGAGAUAAAUCAUCGAUAAAGAUGAUGAAGUAACUAUAACCAUCCCUGAUCUGUAUAUCAAAUGACCCACACACAUCGGUGUGUACCAGGACAAGUAACUCGGUGGUCCUUUCUUUAUGUCCUACAAAGGAUAACUUGAUCAUUUUUUCUCGAAGGUAGAUUCACAAGCUGGAUAUGAUUCUGGAUCAAGAGAGCCAAGUAUUUCAUCUUUUUUCAAUUUGCUUAUCCUAUCCUCUCUAAUAUGGCCUAGUCUAUGAUGUCACAAAUACUUCUGAUUAAUUUCAUCUUUGGAUCUCUUUUGACCUACGGUACUCAUUAUUUCUCAUUCAAAUUCACAUUCGCAUCAACAUGCAAGUUAUAUAGACUGUCAAUUAAAAGAUCACGUACAACUAAUUUAUUUUAUAAAUAAAUAAAAUAAAAAUUUUUAUUAAAAUUAAAUUUAAAAUCAUUCUGUGCUAGCACAGACACGAAAAUCAAAUUUCAAAUAGCUAUAAAAAUAAAAUAACAGUCUUUUAAAUCUAAUUUAAAUUUUAACGGUAAUUGAAGAAGAUAAAUAUCAAUGAUUUUUACAGUAAUUUUUAUUUCAUUGCCGACUCAAAGGAUCAUGUCACCUUUCCUCAACCUUUUACUUGCUAUUGAUCCUGCAUUGAGGUACAUAUAUGAGCACUCGAACUAGAGUCUAAUACCUAACUAGAAGUAGAAGAAUCUGUAAGGUUAGAUUCAAUUAUGAGCAUAUCUUCUAAAGAUUUAUCAUCCUUCUUAAUCUUUAGGCUCUCCAGAUAAAGUAGACAGUUCCUCCUCUAGUGGCCGUCAUUAUCAUAGUAGAAACACUUUUCCUUUACUUCAGUCUUCUUUGGAACGUCCUUCUUUAGCUUGAUCUCUUUCUUCUGCUUCUUAUCAGAAUUAUUCUUCUUCUUCCAAUCAGAUUUUUUUUUGAUCGAAGAAAUCUGUUCCACAGCGAGAACAGUGCCCCUUGAACUCUUCAAGGUUCCUUCCGUAGUGAUCAAUAUGUUGACCAGUUUAGGUAUAGUGCAAUCAAGUUUGUUUAAAUAAAAAUUUAUAAUAAAUUAACUAUAUAAACUAGUAAGGAAUUGAAGGAUCAAAUCCAUCUGUAAUUUCUUUUGUAUAUCAAACUCAAGCUUUUCAAGCUCCUCAAUAUCCUUGAUCACUGCCAUAUAGUGCUCAUGGACUGACUGUCUUUCAUGCAUCUUCAGAUUGAAGAGUCUCUUGGAUACUUUGAAAUGUGAUGUAUGACUCUGCUUAUCAUAUAACUCUUGUAGAUGAGUGAUCAUAGCCCUGACAGUGGGUAUAUGCUCAUGCUGGCUCUGUAACUCAUUUGUCAUGGAUGCCAGCACAUAGCACUUGAUCCGACUGUCUUCAUCCGUCUAUUUUUCAUAAGCAGUUCUUUACGAUGGAGUAGGAUGAUUUGAUAACACUAAGAGUUUUUGAUUGAGUAUAUGAUCUAAUUUUUUAGAAGUCAGGACAAUCCUGAGAUUUCUUAGCCAGUCUUUAUAGUUUGUUUUGGUCAAACGAUUAAAUUCAAGGAUAUAGGAUAGAGGAUUUGAGGCUGACAUUAUUUAACUGUGAGAGUAUAGAUUUAAAUUAGACUUUUAUAUUUUAAAUUUAUAUUUAUUCUAAAAAUUUUAAGAUGUAAAUAAUGACUCUCACUAAUUUUUUGGAUCUCUUCACUCUUCAGGUGGAAAAUGAAAAUCCUGACACAAUAAUUGGAUUUCUAAUUGGUGUUGCAGUCCCACCGAUGCUAUGUACCUCACCUAACAGUUAUUGAUAACAUGCAUAUCGAUGCGUGGACAACUCUUUGUCCAGAUGCUUGUUUAAGCAUGUUACAGUGACUUGGUCUCUAAGUCAUGUGGGCUCACCUAACCGUUAUUGACCAUACUUCUUAGUUAAACCUGACCCACAGUUCACAAGCAGGUGCAAGACCGUCAUUGAGUCCCUCACCUAACAGUUAUUGGGUCCAACCCUAUCCUUAUCCUGGAGCAACUCUUUGCUAAUAGACUGGUUGUGUGUUCCCGAUAUAACUGAACUACUGUGAUCAGUUGAGAACAAUCAACACCAGUAGCAUGCCUGUACAUCUACAACAGUGAAAGAUCUAUAAACUUAAUAUUUAUGGGAAGAUUUAGGUUUAGGUCUAAUUUAAUUAGUUAUCAUAUGAUCAAUUUAAUUGGCAUGAACUAAACCAAACCGUCAAGCAACCUUAUUCAGAACUCAAUCUUCCAAAUUGAUCAGAUAAGAGGAGUCGGUGGGGCCUCUCGAUUACUUGCUUUAGACACUAAUAGGUCAAUUGAUCUAAAUAGGUUAGCUUAAGCAAAUCAGACUCAAGCCAUCGAGCCAAAUUAGGUCCUUAGGUUAAUCGAUUCUACACAUGGGACUCAAUCGAUUUGAUCAACAAUAAUUGCUGAAUCUUAUAACUUAAUUGAUCUAAUCUUAAUCAACACUUGACUCAGUUUGAUCAAUUACUUAAUCGAAUUAGACUAUUAUGUUCAAAUCAAAAAUUCUAGAUGCAAUCUGAUUGCAUGAUCUAAUUUUUAAUUUUUUUUGAUCAAAAUCUUCAUGCAUAAAUACAAAUCUCAUAUUCUAAAAUUAAAUUUUAGUUCUAAAUUCUUUACAUGAAAGAUCAAUUUUAAAUCAUAAAACUAAUUUUUAGAUUUAAUAUACAAGCAUAUAUCUCAUAUACGUAUGUAAAAUUUAGAUCUAAAUAAAAAUUUAAAUCUUAACAUGAUGUCAUAUAUCUCAUAUAAAAUCAUGAAUAAUUUUAAAAAUAAUUUUCAGACCUAAAUAUGUAUUCAUAUGUCUCAUAUAUGAAUCAUAAAUCAGAUCAAAUUAAGUUUUAGAUUUAUGCAUGCAUCUACAUAUCACAUAAAUAUGAACUAGAAACUGUUCUAGAAUAAAAUUCAGAUCUAUGUAUGUUUUCACAUAUCAACUAUAUGAUCUAAAAAAAUAAAUCUAAAAUAAAUUUUAGAUUCAAAGCAAUCAUCUAUAUAUUUCAUGUAUCAAGAAAAAUUAGAUUUUGAAAUUCUUUUCAAAAUAUGUAUGUCAAUUUCAUGCAUAUGAAACAUAUGGUUCUGAUACCAUCGUUGGAAUUUUGUAUCGCGGCAUGUAUGUAUAUUUUAAUUUUUUUAAAUAAUACAACAGAAUAGAAGAUUUAAAUACUUUUUAAUCUACAUUAUGUAUACAUAAAUAUAGAAUACUAGGAUCUACUUCAUAUGCUGAAAUUGAACACAUGCUAAAUUUUAUGCUAAAAUUGAAUAUGUGAUCGGAUCACAUAUCUAUUUCGCAAAUCUUUUUUUCAAAUCUGGAUCUAGAAGAGAGUAGGUUCUCACUUAGUCAUAUAAGUAUCUGAUCUCUAUGAGUAUUCACUCAGAAUCAGCUUGAAGCAGUCCUUUUUGGUAUUGAUUUUCUUCUCUAAAAAAAAUCAGCCUGCACAUCUAAACGAAGUUUGGAUCGCGAUCAACUCUUUGAUCCUAUCCUUGAUCUUUUUCUUCUCUUCUUCUCUUGCUUUUUUUUUCUUAAUUAUGAAAAAAUCAAAACUUGGAAACUAGUAAGCAAAGGGGCACCCAAAUACCUUUUGGGCAUGGAGAAGUGGGACGUCCAAACUCCUUGGGUGUUGGAUCUUCAAGGGAGAAGAGAGGGAGAAGAGAGGGGGGCAUGGGGACCUUCUAAGAGACUCCUGGGGUGCUAGAAUUCAGUGCUUAGGAGCCUUCGAGAAGGCUCCUUUAAAUAGACAUAAGGUUUAAAAUCCUAUUCAAAAUAAAACAACCACUGAAUAUAAGUCCUACUUGCAUUAGAAAUCUUUAUUCCUUUAGUUAUUUGACCCCCUUUAGGAGAUUCUUUUGGUGCCAACUAUUGGAGCUCUUGCACCCACAAAUACACACGCCACAUGGGGCCUAGGGGACGUCCCAUGCUGGUCCCACAUGCCCUCUAAUGGGUGGGCAUGCCCAACUUGAUCAAAUCAAGUGGUGCCCAAUCAAAACAAUCAAGAAAAUUGAUUAAGGAUUUGAACCCUUAAUUCAUUUGAUCCAAAAUCCUAAGCACCCAACAAUUAGAGCCCAAUGAAUCUAAUUCAUUUAGAUUAUUAGCAGAUAAUUAAACUUGAAUUAAUCUUAUCAAAUAAAAAAUUCAAACGUAAAGAGAAAAUUGGAUUCAACCACGUGCCAGCAAGAUUACCAUGAACCCAAUAAGAUUUCUUUAAAUCCAAUUGAGAUUUCAUAAGCCCAAUUGCUUAUUCCAGAUUUAAUCCUUUUGUUGUGUGAUCUCAUAAGUUUAAUUCUAUCUGGUAGUAAGAUAUAUACAAUGAUCUUUAUCAUAACAUUAUUGAAACUCUUUUCAAUAGAUCGAAAUAGUUCUACUAACUCAUCAUGGAUUAUCGAUCCUGAACAAUCUUAGUGAGCUCUCACAAUCCACCAGUGAUAUCUAGCAGUAUGUAGUGACAACCCAGUAGAAUCAAAAAAAAAUACUCAAGGUGUAGUUCACAUAUGAUUCAAUCUCUCUAUCGUGAGUCCCAACUAGAUGGCAGGUCAUAGAUAAAUCGUCAAAUCUCAUCAUCAGUCAUAUGAUGAUUCGAUCAGCUCAAAUCCAAUGCGAUUCUCAUGAAAAUUUUUUUCAUCAAUCACACUGCUAUGGCCACAGACUUUCGAAUUUAGCCUCUCAAAUUUUAUAGGACUACUCCUCUCUAUCAAGAUCGAUAGAUUUUAUCUAGAUACGUAUGCUACUCCUACAGUGGAUCAACUGUCGCCCACAUCCACUAUAAGGACUCAUUGAGAUCAUAUUGAUUGCAGCAGCCUCACUNNNNNNNNNNNNNNNNNNNNNNNNNNNNNNNNNNNNNNNNNNNNNNNNNNNNNNNNNNNNNNNNNNNNNNNNNNNNNNNNNNNNNNNNNNNNNNNNNNNNNNNNNNNNNNNNNNNNNNNNNNNNNNNNNNNNNNNNNNNNNNNNNNNNNNNNNNNNNNNNNNNNNNNNNNNNNNNNNNNNNNNNNNNNNNNNNNNNNNNNNNNNNNNNNNNNNNNNNNNNNNNNNNNNNNNNNNNNNNNNNNNNNNNNNNNNNNNNNNNNNNNNNNNNNNNNNNNNNNNNNNNNNNNNNNNNNNNNNNNNNNNNNNNNNNNNNNNNNNNNNNNNNNNNNNNNNNNNNNNNNNNNNNNNNNNNNNNNNNNNNNNNNNNNNNNNNNNNNNNNNNNNNNNNNNNNNNNNNNNNNNNNNNNNNNNNNNNNNNNNNNNNNNNNNNNNNNNNNNNNNNNNNNNNNNNNNNNNNNNNNNNNNNNNNNNNNNNNNNNNNNNNNNNNNNNNNNNNNNNNNNNNNNNNNNNNNNNNNNNNNNNNNNNNNNNNNNNNNNNNNNNNNNNNNNNNNNNNNNNNNNNNNNNNNNNNNNNNNNNNNNNNNNNNNNNNNNNNNNNNNNNNNNNNNNNNNNNNNNNNNNNNNNNNNNNNNNNNNNNNNNNNNNNNNNNNNNNNNNNNNNNNNNNNNNNNNNNNNNNNNNNNNNNNNNNNNNNNNNNNNNNNNNNNNNNNNNNNNNNNNNNNNNNNNNNNNNNNNNNNNNNNNNNNNNNNNNNNNNNNNNNNNNNNNNNNNNNNNNNNNNNNNNNNNNNNNNNNNNNNNNNNNNNNNNNNNNNNNNNNNNNNNNNNNNNNNNNNNNNNNNNNNNNNNNNNNNNNNNNNNNNNNNNNNNNNNNNNNNNNNNNNNNNNNNNNNNNNNNNNNNNNNNNNNNNNNNNNNNNNNNNNNNNNNNNNNNNNNNNNNNNNNNNNNNNNNNNNNNNNNNNNNNNNNNNNNNNNNNNNNNNNNNNNNNNNNNNNNNNNNNNNNNNNNNNNNNNNNNNNNNNNNNNNNNNNNNNNNNNNNNNNNNNNNNNNNNNNNNNNNNNNNNNNNNNNNNNNNNNNNNNNNNNNNNNNNNNNNNNNNNNNNNNNNNNNNNNNNNNNNNNNNNNNNNNNNNNNNNNNNNNNNNNNNNNNNNCAUAUGUGGUAUAAUCAUCUUAGAGAAUAUUUGUUGAAAGAAGAUGAUGAAAAUGAUCCUAUCAGUCCAUGUAUUUUUAUAAAGAGAUAUGGAUCUGAGUUUGUCAUAAUUAUAAUAUAUGUUGAUGACUUGAACAUUAUUGAAACACCUGAAUAAUUUUCAAAGGUGAUAAAUUAUUUUAAAAAAAAAUUGAGAUGAAAGAUCUUGAAAAAAUCAAGCUUUGUCUCGGCAAGAUAUUUAUCUGAUCCAUAUAAAGCUCGAUCUCAGAUAGGCUAUUUAUUCACUUGUGGUGGUACAGUUAUUUUCUAGUGUUCUACAAAACAGACUAUAGCUGCUGCUUCUUCAAAUCAUGCGAAAAUUUUAGCAAGCCAUGAGGCAAGUCGGAAAUGUGUUUGGUUAAAGUCCAUGAACCAAUAUAUUCAAGAGAAGUGUGGUCUAUCUUCCAAAAGAAAAAUUCCAACAACAUUGUGUGAAGAUAAUGUAGCAUGCAUAGCUUAAUUAGAAGAAAAGUAUAUUAAAGGAGAUAGAACGAAACAUAUUUCACCAAAAUUCUUUUUCACUUAUGACCUUCAAAACAAUGGUUAUAUUGAUGUUCAAUAAAUCCAUUCAAGUGAUAAUCUAACAGAUUUGUUCACCAAGGCACUUCUUACUACAACAUUUGAAAAAUUGGUACACAACAUUGGAUUGCAUCGAUUCAGAGAUCUCAAGUGAUGUCAUCAUGAGGGAGAGUAAAUACGCACCGCACUCUUUUUUGUUCACCAAGGUUUUGUCCUACUGGAUUUUCUAGUAGGGUUUUUAAUGAGGUAGUAUUUCAUCGCAUAUUCUAUAAAAAAAUAAUGUACUCUUUUUUCUUCACUAGGAUAUUUAUUUUUUCUCAUGGGUUUUUUUUUCCUAGUAUGAUUUUAAUGAGACAUAUUCUUCAUAAUGGACAUCCAAGGGGGAGUGUUAUGAAUAUUAUGUGUGUGGAUGUCCUUUCGUAUUCUUCAACUCCCAAAACUCUUCUCAUUCCAUAACACCCAAUGUAUUUAAUUCCCCUUUUUAUUUUUUUAAUUUAUUGUACAUGCAAUUACUUAUGAACAUGAGCCUAUAAACGAGGCUAUGUAGUUUGUAAUGUAUACACUUGAAAAUAAAAUAAAAGAACUUCUCCAUUUCUCUCAUCCCCUUUAUCUCUAAUUCCAAUUUGCUCUUUUAGUUAUGUUUUAUAACAAUAGACUCAUUAUCUAUGCUUAGACCUGUCGAUAGGACAAAAUGUGCUGGAUUGGACCAUAUCCCUAUCCGAACCUGAUCCGAAAUAUUUUUUAAUUUUUUCAAACCAGACUUAGGUCCAAAAAUAUUUUAAAAUUUAAGAUCCGAGCUCAAUUUGAACCCAAUCAGAGUGACCCAAGCACGAGUCUGAGCCCAAGGUCUGACCUGAACCCCCUCCCUCUCUCUCUAUUUCUCUCUCCUUCUUCUCUCUCUCUCAACUUCCAUAGCUCCCUCUCUCUUUCAGGUCUCAACCCUAUUACCAUCCACGAGAUCCAUGGAGUUCGUGAUGACUUUGCCACCUCCCAUAUCGUGUAUUCCUUCCCGAUCAUCAACCCUCUCCUCCUCUUCUCUGUCUCCUCCAUCAUGGCAGGGUAUGCAGAUCGGGACCACUGCCCAAGCAACAAGGAGGAUGAGGAUGAUCACGAAGACAUAGGACAUGGCAGCGCCAUGGUCACCGAUGAGGUCAUAGAUGAGGAGGUAGACCGCAAUGACCACCACCAUCAUGUUUAUCGCAUGGAAGUACUUGGUCUCGAUCUCAUCCUCCACCCUUGCCAUACCGACGAGGGACUUGCAGAGGAAAAAUAUGGUGGUGGUUAAGAGUGCAAUCAAGCCGAGUUGAGUUGAAUAACUAGAAGCUCAAGCUCGACUCAACUCUACUCGGACUCGAAACUUGGCUCAAGUUUGACUGAGCCUUAAUAUUCUAAAGUUGAGCUCAGCUCAAUGAAAAAUAGAUAAAGCUCGAGAUCUGCUCGACUCGACUCAAUUCGAAUAUGAACUGAGUCAUACUCGAGCUCGAAAUUGAGUCUUAUCUUGUUAAUAAUAUAUAUAAUAAUAUAUAUUAUAGAUAAAAAUAAUAUUAUUAAAUAUAUAUAAAAAUUUGAGUAGGCUCGCGAGCUUUUCAAUCGAGUAUCCUACUACUCGAGCUCGACUCGAAAAGCUAUUCGAGCAACUCGAGCUCAAUAAUAAUCGAGUCGAGUCAAGAUUGAACUCGAAUCGAGCUCGAGUAGCUGACGAGCAGCUCGACUUGUUUGCACCUCUAGUGGCGGUGCAGAUAACUAUGGAGAUAAUGAUGAGCAUGAGAAGGAAGGUGAUCGCAUCGUCAUCGAAGAGGGUGGAUAAGAGAUCGAUGAAGAUGGCGGUGCUCAGAACCACGUAGCCUUCCAAGAUCCUUAACAUCGACAACUAUUGACUGAUGAGUGGCGAUGAGGACUUUGGAGUGGUUGACUGGCAUCCGACAGUGGAGGUGGAGAGGAGAACUUAACCCUAAGCGGUGGUCGGCGAGGCUUUGCCCCAAUUUGAGAAAACAAAGAAGAAAAAGCGAUGGUCUGAUUAAGAAAUGGGAAGAGUUAGAAGAGCAUUUUAUUAAAGAGUCUAAAGUCCCCAAGCCUAACUUAAGUGGCUAAGCUUAGUCAUCUUUUAUAUAAUAAAAGAUUAGAUUUAGACCUUAGGCUUGGGCCUGAAUUUUGGGCUAAGAUCGAGCUUGCAGUCAGGCUCAAGUGGGACCAAUGAUAGGCCUGAGCCCGGCCUGAAAAUAAAAUGGACUCUAUAUCAAAACCUAACCUCAACUUGAUUUUGUUAAGAUCUAGUCUGAAGUCCAACUCACAAACGGGCCGGUUGGCUUGAAGCCCAUUGGGCCAGCCUGGGCCCAUUUUCUGUCAUACUUGUCGAUGGCUCGGACGAGCCAGUGAACACAAAGCAUUUUCGACAGGCCUAAGCUUGGAUUUUACGCCUUGUGGGUCAGGGGUGGGGCGGAUUGGGGCAUGUGAGCCCAUCUGUUAAAGUGGGCUCGAUUUGGUUCUGCUCAAUCCGAGCUUGAACCUUAUAUAAUACAUAAUGUAUAUUUAUGCGUUGGGGGUCUAAUUUUGCUGACCCAAGAAAAUAUUAAUAGCUUCCUUUCAUGCAGCGGUAUUGUUUACGAAGAAUGGUAAACACAAAUUCAUAGACCUUACUAGUCUCUUUUCAAAUAUUUAAUCUUUGUUCUUACCAAAAAAAAAGAAAAUCUUUGCAAGUAUUUUUUUAUAUUUUUAAACUGGAGAAAGGGUCCAAAAAGUCCGAAUCAAAAUAGUCAUGUGCUUGGUUUACUGGUGAUUGUUUGCUGAAAUAUUGGCAGGAUAAGAUUCAUGGAGCUUUGGAAUAUUGGUUGGAGAAGAUUCACAAAACUUUCGUCGAGUCUAGGAAAAAUCAAAAAAACUCGCAGCAUUUUGGAGUCAGCUAUUCUCGUUCUAAAGGACCAGAUCGGUCUAGCUUCUCCUUCUGUUGCAAAGUACCACCUGUUUUUUAUUCGUUCUUAGUUUCUCCCUUCUCUCUCUCCUUCGCAACCACCCCCCCCAACUCCCUCUUUGUUCAAUUCUUUAUUCAUUUCUUUUGUUCCUAUUGUUUGUUACUGUAUGUUUCUAAGUUGCUGCAUACUUCAUCCUUUCAGUGAAAGUGAUUAGACAGGCUUCAUUCUUUCUCAAAAAACAUAAAUUUACAAAAGAUAUGUUCAGUAUCUGAAAUUGAUAACAUCAUCUAAAUGUGAAACAUGAAUGUAAAAGGUAUCACAUACUAUACGGUAUAACUAGCAACAUAUAUGCAAAAUGUGUACAUGUGUAUAUACAAAUAAUUAAUUGGAUUGAGUUUUAGAUUUUUGAGUGGAUCUAGCUAAAUCCAAAGCCAUUUCAACACAAGAUUUUGGAUCUAAUUUUGGAACCCAACCCUAACCCAAUAACUUAUUGGUUUUUUUUUUCAUCUCCAAAUCCUAUGUUUUGGUCCACUUAGGAUUAGAUUAGCCCAUUAUCGGCCUCUAUUGACACUUUUAAUUACAAUUGAUUAGCCAUAAAAACAGAAAAUAAAUUUUGUGAAAACUAUAUCUUCCUUUGUUUCCAUAAAAACUGUUUUACAUAUAAUCAUGUUUUAACUUUUAAGGCAACCGAUUCCAGACAACUUGAGAGACCGGUAAUAUUGAAAAAUAAAAAAAAGUCAAGGAAUUUAAAUUAAUUUUAGAAAAAAACCAAAUGUCAAGCUUUUUUCUCUUAUUAUUGUAUGAAUUCUUUAACAGCAAGCAACCACAUGGCACUAUUAUUUUAUUAUUCUAUUUUUAUAUUAUUAUUUGAGUGGCCAAAAAUAAUUGUCAUAACAGCUAAUAUGUUUUUUGCCCUCAAAAUGUCCUCUACAACGCUGAGCUACACAAAUAACGCCUCUUAAUUCAUGGCCUUGAAAUGAGCCUUACCAUUAGAACAACCUCCUUCAAAUUUUGUUUCCCCCAAGUUUCCAGCUGAAAUAUUUCUGCCCCCUGGCGCACUCCAUCGCUUCGGACAGGCCUGGUCAAAACCGCAACCAGGCAUCCGACACGUCCGAAGUUAACAGUGAGCGAAAGCGAGGGAAAGGAGGAGGCCAGCUCCACACACCACCACAACCACCCUCCAUCCUCUCCACAAGCAAUGGCUAUUUCUUAUAACCCCAAUGCUCUUAGAUCCAGCCUCCACGCUCUCCCUUCCAUCUCCUCCCUUCCCCUCCUCCCUUCCUCCAAAGAAAAAUUACUGUCUCAAAAAUGGCGAGGUCGCCGGAAAGCGUUGUCCGGUUCCUCGGCAUUGUAUGCCUUCUAUUCUCCCUAUCUGCGGCCGCUGCCCCGGCCCGCCGGCAUCACAAGGCCAACGCAUCAGGAGUGACCUACGAUGGCCGAUCUUUCAUGAUCAAUGGAAGGAGAGAGCUUUUCUUCUCCGGCUCCAUCCAUUACCCACGUAGCACUCCUGAGGUAGUCAUUGUUCCUAGCAUGGUUCAAUUGCUACGUGUUGCAUGCAUGGCUGCCAUUUUCGACGUGGUGAUGGAAUGUUUUUUGCUUGGUUGAUCAGAUGUGGCCGCAUCUCAUCCAGAAGGCGAAGCUCGGUGGGCUAAAUGUGAUCCAAACUUAUGUGUUCUGGAACAUCCAUGAACCUGUGCAAGGCCAAGUAAGAUUUGCAAGCGAGAUAUGUUUAAAUUUUUGUGUUGAUAGGCAAAGGCCGAAAAAGUUUUAGAUUUAACCGUUUUUAUCGUAAGUUGGUGAUUGGGUGUUGCAGUAUAAUUUCACGGGGAGGUAUGACUUGGUGAGAUUCAUAAAGCUGAUCCACAAGCACAAAAUGUAUGUGACCCUUAGACUUGGUCCCUUCAUUCAAGCAGAAUGGAAUUAUGGGUGGGUAUUUAUUAGAUUGUAGUUGCUUUUGGAAUCUAUUGAUCUUAUUAUGUGAUAAUAAGCUCCUUUGAUGCAUUUCAGAGGCUUCCCAUACUGGAUGAAAGAGGUCCCUGGUGUUGUCUUUCGAACAGACAAUGAACCCUUCAAGGUGAUGGACAUUUUAAGGGAACUAAUUAUACCUUUAGUAGAAAUGAUAAAGGAACUAGCUAAUUUAAAAUAAGCUUUUCAAACUAAUUAACUCAACCUUGUUUUGUUCCUAUCCAUUAUAUAUAGAACAAAAAUCUGAGAACUAACUUAAGCUCUGCCUUAUUGUUAAUGGUGAAAUACAUGAACUUGUUUGAAAAUGAUCACUGCCUAUGAUCUCUAACUACAUGUUUUUUUUUUUUAAUGUGCAGUACCAUAUGCAAAAUUUUGUAACAAAAAUAAUGGAAAUGAUGAAGAGUGAGAAGCUAUUUUUCCCUCAAGGAGGCCCCAUUAUCCUAGGACAGGUUCAGUUAACCUAAGGGUUGCAUUCCAUUAAAUUUCUUUAUUUUUCUUUUCUUUUUUCUGCAGGUGCUAUAUUAUAUCACUCUUGAUUCUUCUCUGAAGUAUUGUGUUGGCUUUGAGUGCAAUAGAUCGAGAAUGAAUACAACAUGGUGGAAGCAGCAUACAGAGAAGGUGGGCUCACAUAUGUUCAGUGGGCAGCCAAUUUGGCUCUUGGGUUCAAUGCUGGAAUACCAUGGGUGAUGUGCAAGCAAAAGGAUGCUCCCGGUCCAGUGGUAAGCCUCUUCAUCAAAUUCUCAUAUGAAUACGAAAGAAAUUCAACCUUAAUGGAUGCUCGCCAUAGGAACCAAAAUUAUGGAACCAUGAAAAUUGGAAGAGAGUUUGUGAUCCUAAACAAUACUGAGCACUUUCAGAUGAUUCUUUGUGUUACAUGUUCAUGGGAAUUGAUGAUAGCUACGCUGCUUCUGUAGAUCAAUGCAUGCAAUGGAAGGAACUGUGGAGAUACUUUCACAGGCCCCAACAGUCCAACCAAGCCUAGCGUCUGGACUGAGAACUGGACUGCUCAGUAAGUAUAUGAUGGUUGUUUUAAACUUUGUUAUACUUCUGACUGGUUACUAUUUUUUCCUCACAAAAAAAUGGAGGUAUCAUCCAGGACAGAAAUAUCAAGUAUCAUAUUUUUUAAAUGGACCAUAACCUUCUAAAUCUGCAUUUUCUCUCGGUUUAGGCAAGAAAGAACAAUUUCGCAUAACUCCAUAAAAAAAAUUGAACAGAAUAUUGCACCUGUGCUAGUGUGUUAAUUAUUGUUGAUAUCGGCAAUUAACAGUUUUAUGGUAUAAAACAUACAAUAUUAUGGGAAACAUGAAAGAUUUUAUAAAAUUCAAUGCAGUAAAUUUAUAUAUAAGGUAUUGAUCUGAUUUCGAGGCUCUAAAGUAAUGUAAUUCCUGUCUUUUUGUCUUUGCGAUUUACUGGUAUAAUAGUUGAUUAGAUUGUACUGAAACAGAACAUAUGGUGGUUGCAGGUACAGAGUAUUUGGUGAUCCACCAUCUCAAAGAUCGGCUGAGGACAUCGCAUACUCUGUUGCACGCUUCUUCUCAAAGAAUGGCACACUUGUAAACUACUACAUGGUAUGGAUUAUCUUCUAUAACUCUCAAACAAUAUUUAUGACGAGGAGAAAAGCAAAAUUAUCUUCUAAAAUAAUGUGCAAAUUGCUUCUACUCAGUACCAUGGAGGAACCAAUUUUGGAAGAGAAGGUGCAUCGUAUGUGAUGACUCGGUACUACGACGAAGCUCCUCUCGAUGAAUAUGGUUAGACAAGUGUAGCCUUGACCCUCAGUUGUUAUUUCCUUCACCAUAUGAGGUUUCUUCUUAAUUCUAAGCAUAUAUAAGUUAUAGUAUACCCAACUCUUUCUGAUGAGAUGUGUUCGCCCAGGUCUGCUUAAGGAGCCUAAGUAUGGACACCUGAGGGACCUACAUCAAGCAUUGAAAUUGAGCAGGAAAGGUUUGCUUUGGGGGGUUCCCUCAGUCCAACCCUUGGGUGAAUGGUAUGAGGUAAGAAUUAACAGCAGCAUUUGGAUUGAGCAAAACUCUUUAGUCAUUAGCAUGGAGUGGGAACUAAAUAUUUCAUGAGCAAAAAUCUUUAGUCAUGACCACUUGGAUUGAGCAAAAAUUCUCUAGUCAUUAGCAUUUGGAUCUUCAGAAUUUAACUAAUAUGGUGUAGUUGUGUGCCACAAUAUCAUCCCAAAUUGCAACCUAUGGUUUCCAUAAGAAAGAAAUAAAGGAGAAGGUUGUUGGUAUUCUCAUGUGGUUUUUAUAUGUGCAGGCGAGGUUGUACGAGUCCCCUGAGAGCAAUGUCUGUGUUGCUUUCUUAACCAACACCAACCCAAGAGUAGAUGGGACAGUGAACUUUAGAGGCACAGACUACUUCCUGCCUCACCGUUCGAUCAGUAUCCUUCCAGAUUGUAAGACCGUAGUCUUCAACACUCAGAUGGUAACCAGAACAUGCCAACUUUGAUUCUUUUUUCCCCUCUCUAUUUCUUCAAGAAAAGAACUAUCGGCAAACUAUCAAAGUGUAGGCCUAAAUAUAUGUAGUAAGUGCCAAUUAAUUGUUUAUACUUCAUCUCAACAUGUCAAGUAUGAGUUAUUUGAGGACUGAUGUAGUUUUGAUUCCAUCUUCUCCUUUAGAAUACUGCAAGUGAGAAGUAGUAACUUUUUUGGAUGUCAAACAGGUGAAUGCUCAACAUAAUGCAAGGACAUUCCGUACGGAGGACGUAACCCGCAAGAAUGACAAAUGGCAAAUGUUCCAAGAACGCAUACCAAAAUUCCUUAAGAAGGGUAUCGUUGCAUCAAGGCCCUUGGAUCUUUAUAACAUGACCAAAGACAUCACAGAUUAUAUGUGGUAUACUACCAGGUGAGAAAAUCUUUGUCAACACAAAAACAAGUUCAUUCCCUUGGAACAGAGGAAUUUAUUACUCUUCAGUUCCUCAUGUAUACUUCUUGUUUAUUUUACAAGAAAUUCUAUCCAAAUGAAAUCAUUACCUUGAGAGAGAUGAAUAGUUUGUAAGCCUUUAUAUGGAUCUUUAGAUAACUUUGUAAUUUGCAUAGUAUGUUUUCAAUUGAUUUCAUUGUCUUCACCCUACAGAUAACACACACUGUUUGUUGUUCUGCUGCUACUCUAAUGCAGGUUUAGAUUGGAGGAUGUGGAUUUGCCCAUGCGUCCUGACAUCCGCCCUGUUCUCUUAGUGUCAAGCCUUGGCCAUGCAAUGCAUGCCUUUGUCAAUGGCAUUUACAUAGGUAUCCUCCCUUUGUUCUUUUUUCUUUCUACUCUUACAUCUGGUUGUAGUGUACUCAUUUCAAGUCCAAUUCAAUCAUAGUCCUUGAUGCCAAAAAUAUUAUGAUAAUUGUGAUGCCAAAAGAUUUUAUUAAGGCCAUGGCCAUAUGAUGAAGCUUAUUUUGAGGCUCGCAUAUAUAAAACACCUUUCAGGAUCUGGCCACGGUGCGAAACUCGAGAAGAGUUUUGUCUUCCAGAAGCCCAUGGAUCUGAAACAAGGAGUAAACCACAUUUCCAUCUUGGGCAUGACAGUUGGAUUUCCGGUAAAUAUUUAGAAUGACUGAAUUUAGAGUAUAAAUCACGUUCUAUUUCUGCGACAAGAUUGAGAUUUCCAUGAUUAUUCUAUGCUAUCUUCAUGGACUGGCGUCUUCUGUUUCUUCCCUUGUGUAGGAUAAUGGAGCAUACUUGGAACACAGACUUGCAGGAGUUCAUACUGCUGCCAUCCAAGGUCUCAACACCGGGACUUUGGAUCUAUCGCCCAAUAAGUGGGGGCAUGAGGUACCAAUGCUCACCUUUGAUGCCUAUAUUCUUUCUGUUUUCUUAAAAUAUAUAGAUAUCAUAUAUAGAAACAAACAGAUGAUUAGCUACAUUUAAUUUCUUCUCUCUCUCUCUCUCUAAAACCAAAAAAAAAAAUAGGUAAUUAAGAAACUAAAGUUUAAGUUGUUAUCCAUGAUNNNNNNNNNNNNNNNNNNNNUCUCUCUCUCUCUCUCCAAAAAAAAAAAAAAAAAAUGGAAUUAGAAACAAAGUUUAAGUUGUUAUCCAUGAUCAGGUUGGAAUGAAAGGGGAGAAGUUAGGCAUCUACACUGAGGAGGGAUCCAAGAAGGUUAAGUGGACGGAGGCUAAGAGUGGCCAGCCAGUGACAUGGUACAAGGUACAAGGAAUGAUCUUUAUCUCAAUAUAAUUAACCAAGAAAAUUAUCAACAUCAACAUAAUUAGUAUGCAAUUAAUUCAAGUCAUGGAGAAUCAGCGGAACCCUUUGUUUAAUUUCAUGCUCAUUAAACUUCUCUUGCGUUCCCACUCAGAUAAGAACAGUAGGUUGUGAGGACCAACUCGUAAUGCUUAGAUUAUAUUGGCAUUUGAUAUCAUGUAAAGCAUCUGGAACCACUAAAUUCUCUCUCUGAAAGAGGAAACUAAGAGAUCUUCAAUAGCAACGGCUUGCGAGGCAUAUUCAUGAAUCUAAUUCUUUCUCAGAGAUACUUUGAUAUGCCAAGUGGGAAUGAUCCGGUUGCUCUAGAUAUGACUGGAAUGGGGAAAGGCCUUGCAUGGGUCAAUGGAAACUGCAUCGGUCGUUACUGGGUAUCCUACCUCAGUCCCCUUGGAAAGCCUUCUCAGUCAGUGUAAGUACUGAACCCAUGUCUCUUUCUGAUGACAAAUACUUGCAUAUAUUAUCUCUAAUGCACCAUAGUAGAAGGCAUUGAAUUUUAUAGUUGUUAAUAUAUUUCAUCAUAAUUUGCCUUCGGCGCUGCAGGUACCACGUCCCACGCGGAUGGUUGAAGCCAAAAGACAACCUCUUGGUCAUCUUUGAGGAGAGUGGAGGGAAUCCAGAGGGCUUGCUGGUUGUGACUGUGAAGAGGGACAACAUCUGCACUGUUGUCACCGACUUGCAUCCCCCUACUAUUGAGUCAUUUUCGAGGGAGGACAGUGAGAUCAAGAACCUAGUCCAAGAUGGUAAGCCAAGUGCUCACUUGACGUGUGAUAAGAAGAAGGUCAUCCGCUCCAUUGCCUUUGCUAGCUUUGGGAACCCCACAGGCGCGUGUGGCAACUUCACAGUGGGAACCUGCCACUCUCCACAGACCGCAAGCAUUGUUGAGAAGGUAAUACUUCCACUAACAAGUGAAUAAAUCCCUGAGCUAAGACUGGCAACAGUGGGUAGUUAGCCUGCGUGACCUCAUGGAAAACUAGAUUUUCUGAGGAAACAUGCCUAUGAGAAGCUUGUGCUUUUCUGUCUCAUCAAAGCUUUGCUGCUCUUCUCAUUUCGUAGACUAGUUUUCUUAGCAAACAUACCUAUCUAUUGUAAAAGUUUCUCUCUGCUUUUGUCUUUCUCCAUCAUCUCAUCUGAACUCCAAGGAUUCAUUUUUCCCCUACUGAUCAGGCCUGCUUGGGGAAGAAUUCCUGUGUGUUACCAGUCUCAGCCCAAGAAUAUGGUGCAGACCCAGCUUGUCCUGGAACAACGAACACUCUUGCAGUUCAAGCUAAAUGUGCUCGGCAGAAGAAAGAAGACAAGGAUUGAUUCGCUAUUUCUUAUAAUACUUUAGUUCAGGAAUGUUGUAAUGAGACGUAACAUUGAAAGAGGCUGAAUGUGAUGGUGCAAAAUCUCGUCUGGAACGUUAUACUACAAUAAUAGGUGAAUGUAUCUGCUCAUUGGUGACAAUUUUCCCUUCUUUUCGUUUCAAGAGUCUCCUAAUAUAUUUUUUUAACGUUUGAAAUGGAUUGGAUUGGAAAGCGCUAGCAAUCCAUAUCGGAUUGAUUGCUUCAUUCAAACUAUUAUUAUGCUUGGUUAAGUAGCUUGCUCCGAUUGCAUUUAUUUCACUGAUGUCACCUAACAGAUGGUAAAAAAACUCUAUGAUAUUUGUUGACUAAUGGAACCUGAAAGAAGGUUACUCUGAUCAAUUCAGCUUCAGUGCAUGCUGGUUAGGGGGCAGAACAAUGUCCAUGAACUUAUAUUUUAUAGACCCCGGUACAAGUAUUGCAAUAUGGCACCCACUGACAUAAAUAUGUUAAUGAAUUUACAUUAAUGGAACCGAUUUUUUAAUUACCGGCGAUGAGUCGACAAUGAAAUCACUCAAAUAAAUUAUAUUAUAAAAUAAACUAUUGGGACAAUUCAACCAACCCCGAUCCCGAUUCUAUAUCGGUCGAAUGAACACAUUAGGCUGACUCACAAUCGAUUGACCGAUCGACAGUCGGCUAUUAUCAAUCAACAAAGGACAACCCGGUUAACCUCCGAUCGAAAACCAUCAACAUAUUAGAAUUACCGAUCGAUGCUCAUUCGAAUUUUCAAGACUACCAACUUACCACUAUUACCGACAUAUAGUCGGCCUAUCUUCUCAAUACACCUAACCAUUAUAAACGAUUAUCGAUCAUGUGUCACGGUCAUUAGUGGGCAUAAACAACCCAUUAACUUCAUGAUUAUGGUCCGAUAAUUUAACGCCAUAAAAAGCGGGACCACGUGCUCGACGGUUAUACCAGAAUCAUUUAUAAAAAGGAGGUAAAUGAAUAGUAUAGAUAAGACAAUUCUGGACAAACACCCUGUCAUUUUAAUUACUCAUUAUUUGCUGUUCACCAACUCUCUACUGACUUAAGCAUCGAAGGGUCCCCACCGGACACAAUUUCGGUCUGAGAGGAUUUUGUUUUGCAGGUGCUCUUCACCGGCGACAGACAACAGGGGAUCGGCCGCAACAGAUUGGUGCACUAAGAAGGAGAAAAACUACAAUCAACCAUGUCGAAAAUCAGAGCUUAACAUUUGACUGGAUCGAUGAGGCAGUCUUCCCGUCGGAAAGAUAUUCCUCCCUCAUCUCCAGUGGCAGAGCUCAGUUCUUCGCAUUCUGUGGUCACCACAGACGCACAGAUCGCUGCACUCAUAUAGCAAAUUAAAGUAUUAACAGAGGCGAUUCAAAGCUUCCAGCAGCAGUAAAUCCAGCAAUAGCAGCAGUCGUCGGUAGAGCAACUGGUGGCUCAAUCAGUGCCAUCUAGAUACAGUCGCCGUCCACCACGGUGCUCACCCUCUUUAUCUUCAGAGUGGCGACCGUCUCGGCAUUCUUAUCGAGACGGACGCAUUCUCGAUACUCCUAUCAUGCCACCCAUCUUUCACGGUGUUCUCCCUCUCCUUCUCGUGUAUAUAGUAUUAGGAAGGAGAAAUGGCCACGGACUCCUUCUGCUUCUCCCUCUUCGAGCUCUUCAGGGGGUUCUAUCCUAGGAGUUUUCCAGCAACGACGGCUUGACGACUAUGAACGUAAGUUCAAAGAGAUUGACCGCAAACUUGCUCGACUUUAGAUGGAAGGUUGGAAGUCUUCUAAUGACUACGACUUCUAUACUGCCCAGUCUCUCUCUCGACGUAUCCUGGAUGAACCAAUUCUCUCUUGGUUCAAGAUGCCGCAGAUGGAGCCAUACGACGGCUCCACCGACCCGAUCGAUCAUUUGGAGAGCUAUAAGGCUCUCAUGAUGAUCUAAGGAGUAACUGACAUCCUUUUAUACAUUAGCUUCCCAGCAACUCUUCAGAAGGAUGUCGAGCCUGAUAUUUUGAGCUUCAGUCGGAGAGUAUUAACUCUUUCGAGCAGCUAGAGCAUUCUUUCAUAGUCCACUUCAGUACUAGCCGAAGGUCGCCAUAAAUAUCAGACAGUCUCUUCUCUAUCAAGCAAGGUGAGACAGAGACGUUGAGGGACUUUGUGGCUUGUUUCAAUGUAGCCACACUUGAGUUCAGGGAUCUCCAUAAAAAUAUGACCGUAUCGGCCAUGAAGAGGAAUCUGAGGGGAUCAAGAUUCACCUACUUUCUAGAUAAAACUCUCCCUCGGAUCUAUGCUGAGCUUCUAGAGCGUACGUACAAGUAUAUUUGCGUAGAUGAAGCUGCUUCUGACCGACGCUAGACAGACGAAAAAGGUCAGAAGAAGAAAUAGAAAAAAAAUGAAGCUCCAGUCGAAUCAAAUAGGCCGACUGUCAAUAAACGAGCUUCACCUCGAUGACGGAGUCCGAAGCCAAGCAGCUACGAUAGGUAUGACUCCUACAUUCCUCUUUCUGCUCUCUGUGCAUAGAUCUUGAUGGAGAUCGAAUGAGAAGAGUACUUAUGACAUCUCCCACCAAUGAAAGCGCCAUCGAAGAGUCAAGAUAGGAAGAAAUACUGUCGGUUCCAUUAUGAUCACGAUCACAAUACCGAACAGUGUAUCUAGCUCAAGGACGAGAUAGAGAUCCUGAUUAAACGAGGCUAUCUCGAAAAAUUCUGAUGUGAUCGCUCGACUCAACCUCCCAUCGACCAACAAUCUCAGCCGUAAGCUGAGGAGACACUUAACAAUCAACCAAUGCCAGAAGUAAUCAACAUGAUCUCCGGACGAUAGAAGAACUGUGGGGCAACUUUUGAAGAAGAGUCAGUGAAGAAGCGACGACUCGAUAAUGUAAUUACUUUUUCGGAAGAAGAUGUUCGGAGAAUUCAAACUCUCCAUGAUGAUGCUGUUAUUGUCCCGACAACGAUAGCAAAUUAUGAUGUAAAAAAAUUUUAGUAGAUAAUGGAAGCUUAACGGAUGUUUUAUUUUACUCGACUUUCUUCCGAAUGCGACUAUCGACAGAUCGACUCAGGAGAGUCUCGACGCUAUUAGUCGGUUUCACUAGGGAUGCGGUUACCGUAGAAGAGAAAAUCACUCUCUCACUAACUGUCGGAAUAGAUCCAUGAUAGAGUACUGUUCUCUUAAUAUUCACGAUUAUCUGAAUUUUUUUAAUUUAUAAUGCCAUACUCGGACGAUCUGGACUUAAUGCUCUGAGAGCAGUAGUCUCGACAUAUUAUCUGCUUAUCUGAUUUCCGACAAAAAAUGAAGUCGGAGAGAUGCGUGAAGAUCAAUAACUUGCUCGACGCUGCUUUCUGAUUUUCAUACAAAAUAAUCAAUCAGAAGACUCUUUGUCCAUUGAUAAAUUGGACUAAAGUAAAAAUGAAAAAAGAAGUGAACCAGUCGAGCAAUUAGUUUUUAUCUCACUAAAAGAAGAAGAUCCUGAGAAGACGAUCCAAAUUGGAUCGCAGUUGCCUAAUCUGGAGCGGCAAUAACUAAUAAAUCUACUAAGAGCAAACGUCAACAUUUUUGCUUGAUCGAUUACUGACAUGCCAGACAUUUCUCUGGACGUAAUAAUCCAUCGACUAAACAUUAAUCCAAAGAUUAAGCCGGUUAGACAAAAGAAAAGGUCUUUUGCUUUCGAAAGAUAGAAGGUCAUCGACGAAGAAGUCGACAAGCUCCUCACAGCUGAUUUCAUCAGAUAAGCUAUUUAUCUCGAUUGGCUCGUCAAUGUAGUGAUGGUAAGAAAAACUAAUAAAAAAAAAAAUCUGUAUCGACUACACAAAUAUAAACGAAGCUUGUCCGAAAGAUAAAUUUUUUCUGCUGAAAAUUGAUCAACUAGUUGAUGCGACUUCAGGAUACCGACUCUUGAGCUUUAUGGAUGCCUUUACAAACUACAAUCAGAUUCGGAUGGCACCUGAAGAUGAAAAGCACACAGCCUUCGUAACCGACAAAGGCAUCUACUGUUAUAAAGUAAUGUCGUUCGAUUUAAAAAAUACCGGAGCGACUUACCAACGGCUAAUUAACAAGAUAUUUAAGACACAGAUCGGAUGAAAUAUGAAAGUUUAUGUGGACGAUAUGCUGGUAAAAAGUCCUCAAACUAAUGAUCAUGUUCAGAAUUUGAAAGAAGCCUUCAGCACACUUCGACGACAUCAAAUGAAGUUGAAUUCGACUAAGUGUGCGUUCGGAGUAACUUCUAAAAAGUUUCUCGGAUUUCUUGUAUCACAAUGAGGAAUUGAGGCCAAUCCCGAAAAAAUAAAGGCUAUUAUCAACAUGAAGUAUCUAAGCUCCAAGAAAGAGAUAUAGCAGCUCAACGGAAGGAUCGUCGCACUCAACCGAUUCAUAUCAAGGUCGACAGAAAGAUGCUUGCCUUUUUUCAAGAUCUUGAGACAAUCAAACGACUUCAUAUGGUCAGACGAGUGUCGACAAUCCUUCAAAGACCUAAAACGAUAUUUUCCAUCUCCACUACUACUCACAAAACCAAAGGUCGGAGCAACUUUGUAUCUUUACUUGGCGACUUCGAUGGAGGCAGUUAGUUCGAUACUUGUCCAAGAUGAUGAGAACCGAAUCCAAUAGCCUAUCUACUAUACUAGCAAGGUGCUUCACAAUGUCUAAGUAAGAUAUUCAAAAGCGAAGAAGAUGAUUUACGCUCUAAUCAUAUCAUCAUAAUGACUUCGCCCAUACUUUCAAGUACAUUCUAUCGUCGUCUUGACAGAUCAGUCGUCGAAGGUAAUCUUACACCGAUCUGAUACGUCGGAUCGAAUGGCAAAGUGGACAAUAAAAUUUGGUGAGUUUGAUAUCCAAUAUCGUCCACACCCAUCCAUGAAGGUACAAGUUUUGACCGACUUCAUCGUCGAAUGUAUAAUAUCUGAUAAUAAUCCUGAAAAUGAAUCUAACGAUAAAAUAAAGUAAGCUACAACUCCUGAGCUCGACUUAACGUCGGCAUGGGUGCUACAUAUUGAUGGAGCGUCUAAUGCACAAGACAGUGAAGCUGGUUUCAUCCUCACCAAUUUCGAAGGGAUUAUAACUGAAUAUGCCCUUCGAUUUAAUUUCAAAGCUUUGAAUAAUCAAGCCGAAUAUGAAGCACUCUUAGCCGGCUUGAAGAUUGCCAAGGAGCUCGACAUCAAUAACCUGAAGGUCUUCACCGACUCAUAAUUGAUUAUCGGACAGAUUAAGAGCAAAUUUGAAGCCCGAGACCUUGUUACGAUGAAGUAUCUUCAGAAGAUGAAAGAUCUUACGUCCAUUUUAAAGUAUUUUGAGAUAUUUCAUAUCCUAAAAGCAACCCUAUAUAUAUAGGAUCCCUCAACGGUCUGGAUGAAAUUGAUCAAAUUUGAAUCUCAUCAGAUGACGACACGUGGCAACAUCCAGACCGAUCAUUGGUUGGACGGUUCGACGCACCUGCUCCUGAUCGUGCCACCUGACCGUUAUUCGUGUGAACAAUUCCGACCUAAUGGUGUUUGGACACAUGGUCAAGAUCUACUAGUCAGAAUCAAAUUGUCUGGAUGUCCUAGAUACCGAGUUAUCUUAUCAAAAUGACAGUCCAAUAAUGAUUUCACAACUAUCGAAACAGUAAAACGAUCGAAGAUCUCUUGUAUUUCAAAGAUCAUAAAGACUAGCAGCCGAAUCGGAGCUUGAGGCAACACAUGAUGACUCUCUUCGUCCAACAUGACAGACCAUGUGAUAAUAUAUACGUCGAACCACCUUGAACUUAAGAGUGGGGGACAACUGUUGGGACAAUUCAACCGACCCCCAAUCUAGACUCUACAUCGGCCGAAUGAACAUAUUAUGCCGACUCACAAUCGAUUGACCGAUCGACAGUCGGCUAUUAUCAACCAACAAAGGAUAACUCGGUUAACCUACGACCGAAGACUAUCAACAUAUCAGAGUUACCGAUCGAUGCUCAUUCAGAUCUCCAAGACUACCGACUUAUCACUAUUACCGACAUAUAGUCGGCCCAUCUUCUCAACACACCUAAUCGUUAUAAAUGAUUAUCGAUUACGUGUCAUAGUCAUUAGUGGGCAUAAACAACCUAUCAACUCCAUGAUUAUGGUCCAAUAAUUUAACGCCAUAAAAAGUGGGACCACGUGCUCGACGAUUACAUCAGAAUCAUCUAUAAAAAAGAAGUAAAUGAACAGUACGGGUAAGACAAUUUUGAGCUAACACCCUGCCAUUUCAAUUACUCAUUAUCUACUAUUCACCAAUUCUUCGCUGACUUAAGCAUCGGAGGGUCCUCGUCGGACAUAAUUCCAGUAUGAGAGGACUUUGUUUUACAGGUGUUCUUCACAGAUGAUAAGCGAUAGGGGAUUGACUGCAACACAAACUUUAAGAUACUUUGAGACAAUGCAAAAGCUUCAAAACUUAUGAAAGAACUGAUAUCUUGCCUUUGCAUGUAAAAGAAAUGAAAUAAUUACAAAUGAAGAUAACAAAUGUGAGUUAUGAUACAGAAACUGAAAACAAAGCAUGGCUUGUUUUCGUUGUAAGCGUCAAACGAAAUGUAGGAUUCAUGGGAUUGCAUACUACUCUUGUGCUUACCAGCUACUGAACCAAGCUAUGUGCAGAGAACUUUCUAUGGUGAUGGUUUAGAUGGGAAUGACGUGUAAGCCUUCACUUAAUCCCCCAAUUAGUUCUCGAUAUGGUUUGUAGCUGAUAAAUAGCUGUCAUGUGUAAAGUCUCAACAAAUAUAUUCUCUUACUCCCAAGUAUUGAGAAAUUCUUUUGGCAGCUGUGUAAAAAAUUCGAUGUGAAACGCAUCGCUUUAUAUGAUUGAUCUAUAUAGUCAUCAUUUUUCAAUACGCAUUUAAUGCUUACAAUUUUAUUUUUUUCGUUUGAAAAUUUUGAAUUACGAAAAUACUCCUGCUCUUUCGAAAAAAUUAUGACAUCUUAUGUCUAUAUUAUGAUAUAUUGCGUGCAGAAAGUUAUAAUUUUGAUGCAGAAUAUCAUAAUAUACCACAGAAUGUCAUAAUUUUUUUCAAAGAGCAGGAACAUUUUCGUCAUUCAAAAUUUUCAAACGAAAAAAUAAAAUUACAGAUAUUAAAUGCAUGUUGAAAAGUGGUUGGAUAAAAAUGUCCUUUCUAUAUUAUAACAUCCUGGAUCAUAUUAUGACAUUCUACAUGCAGAAAGUCAUAAUUUGACAUAGGAUGUCAUAAUAUGCACCGGAUGUCAUAAUUUUUUUGGCCAUAUUAUGACAUCCUACGUGUAGAAAGUCAUAAUAUACCACGGGAUGUUAUAAUUUUUUUCAAAGAGUAGGGAUAUUUUCGUCAUACAAAAUUUUUAAAUAAAAAAAUAAAAUUGUAGGCAUUAAAUGCACAUUGAAAAAUGAUAGCUAUGUAGACCAAUCACAUAAAGCGGUGCACUCUACGUUGGAUUUUCUACACAGUUCGUGGUGCACAAAGAAUUUCUCCCCGAGUAUUUCUUUUAUGAUAGCUGCGUACCCUAGGUCGAACCCACAUAAGGAAGGCCUAGGGUCUUGUCCCAUGCGGUACCAUCUUAGGCGGUAUGUGGAUAAGAGCGAGAAAGGGAUGAGGGGUGUGGAUGCAUGGGUUUAUCACAUGUGUCCAUGUUGUCAAAAAAAAAAUAGUUGAAGGGGUGAGCACAUCUUCUUAUUGCGUCUCAGUCUCAGUCUCUUUCUUCUUCCGUUCUCCGAUCACUCUCUCUCUCACUCUAUCACAUUCUCUCUCUUUUGCAUUUUUCUCUACCACAUGUCUCUUAGGCCCUGUUUGGAAUUGCUGUUAGCAGUAGAGCUUUUUGAGUUUUUGAAAGUAGAGCUUUUGAGAAGUAGAGCUUUUGAAAGUAGAAUUUUUACAAAAAACUAUUUACUGUUUGGUAACCACAUUUAUAAAGUACUUUAAAACUUUAUCAUAUAUUUAAUAACUAAAAUAAAAAAUAUUUUUGAUAUGAUAAAAUGAUAAUAAAAGAUAUUGCAUAGUAGAGAAUAAUAUAAUAUAAUAUUAUAAUAUAUAUUAAAAUAUUAUUAUAAUAUAUAAUAUUAUUAUCAUAUAAUAUAUCAUAAUAAUAUAGUAUAAUAUAAUAUAAUUAAAAUAUAAUUUAUAAUGUAAUAUAAUAUGUUAGUUAUAAUCUAAUGUAAUAAUAGAUUAUAUUAUAUUAUAUUAUAUUAUAUUAUAUUAUAUUAUUAUAUUAUUAUAUUUAUUAUUACUAAAAUAUUAUUAUAUUAUAUUGUAUUAUUAUAAUAUUAUAAUAGAUUAUAUUAUAUGUCUAUAACAUAAAUAUUAUUAUAUUUUAAAAUAAAUUUUUAUUAUAUAAUAUUAUUAUCAUAUAAUGUUAUAUAAUAUAAUAUAGUAUAUACUAUAAUAUAAUAUUAUUAUAAUUAUAAUGUAAUAUAUAAUGUAAUAUAAUAUAAUGGAUUAUAAUCUAAUCUAAUAAUAAAUUAUAAUAUAAUAUAUUAUAUUAUAUUAUUAUAAUAUAAUGAUAUUAUAAUAGAUUAUAAUCUAAUCUAAUAAUAAAUUAUAAUAUAACAGAUUAUAUUAUAUUAUUAUAAUAUAAUAAUAAUAAUAUAAUAGAUUAUAUUAUACAUCUAUAACAUAAAUAUUAUUAUAUUUUAAAAUAUUAUUGUAUUGUAUAAUAUUAUUAUUAUAUAAUGUAAUAUAAUAUAAUAUAUGCUAUAAUAAAAUAUUAUUAUAAUUAUGAUGUAAUAUAUAAUGUAAUAUAAUACAAUGGAUUAUAAUCUAAUAUAAUAAUAAAUUAUAAUAUAAAAUAAUAUAUUAAUAUAAUAUAAUAUUAUUAUAUUAUUAAUAAAUAUUGUCAUAUCAAAUUAUAUUUUAAUAAUAUAAUAAUACUAUAAUAAAUUAUAUUAUAUAUUUAUAAUAUAUCAUGAUAUUAAUUUAUUAUUAUAUUAUAUUUAUAGUAUAAUAAUAUAAUAUGAUAUAAUUAUGAGAUUUAUUAGUGAAUAUUUUUGAGUAUUUUUAUCAUUAAAAAAAUUAUUUAAAUCAAAACAGCUUCCCGAAAUUAGUAACAAAACACUUUUGGGGAAGCUUCAAAAUAGAGCUUUCCCCAAGUAGACAUUUUUUAGCUUUCUGAUAAAGUCAAAAUAACUUUUUGAUUUCUUAUCAAAUAUCACUAUAUCAUCCCAAAGUGCUUUCUGGCACUCUAAAAGCUUAGCCAAACAAGACCUUAAUCUCUCUCUUUCAUUCUCACAUGUCCUGACACGACCAUCCUAUUUUCCUCUCGCAUAUCUCUCUCUUGUUCCUCUCUGGCUAGCAUCACAGGAGAAAUUCUUUAUACACUGCGGAUGGUGUAGAAAAUCCGAUAUAGAACACACUGCUUUACGUGAAUAAUCUACAUAGUCAUCACUUUUCAACAUACAUUUAAUGCCUGCAGUUUCACUUUUUCAUUUAAAAAUUUUAUAUGAUCAAAAUAAUUUUAUUUUUUGAAAAAUUUAUGACAUUCUGUGACAUAUUAUGACUUUCUAUAUGCAGAAUGUUAUAAUAUGAUCCAAAAAAUUAUGACAUCCUGUGUACAUUAUAACAUUCUGCAUCAAAUUAUGAUUUUUCGUACGUAGAAUGUCAUAACAUGACUCAGGAUAUCAUAAUAUAAUCCAGACGUCAUAAUAUAGAAGAUAUAUUUUUGUCCAGCCACUCUUCAAUAUAUAUUUAACGUCUAUAGUUUUUCUUUUUUGUUUGAUAAUUUUGAACCAGACAUCUCAGUAAGUAUUCGAUGGUUAUUAAAUAGCUUUUCAAUGUUUCUGACUAUUUUCUGCUAUCCGAAAAGAUCUUUGUAAAAAGCAAAGAAACAUAUGUCAUAAGGAUAUCGGAAAAUCAUUUUUCUAAAAUGGCCGAUGACCUUGAAACACUGAAAUGUUACUCUUUAUCAAGAAAUAACAAUUUAUAAUAAUGUACAUGUAUUCGUAUAUUACCUAUUGUCGAUAUUGAAAAAAACCCAUUUUACAGUCUAUAGAAUUAAAGGAAAAUUGAGAUAUUUUAUAAUUUUUGAUGCAACAGAAAUUUAAAUAUAACUAAUCUGACUUCCGUGCUGCAAACUUAAGUAACCCCUUUCCCUUGGAUUCGAGUCAUUUUCAUCUUGUACUGAUUUCAUUGUGUUAUGUGUAUGUCUGGCCAGGACACUACCUCCCAAGAUCCUUUCAGUACCAUGCGAUGCAGCAGGAAGAAAGAAGAAACAAAAUAAAAGAAAAAAAUAAUCAAAAUACGUGGAUCAGCUACAAAAAAGUUCGAUGUGGGUUGAAUCUCGAGGCGUCAAAUCCUAACAAUCUCCACCUCGACUCGAUAUUCAACCUCCUCCAAACUCUNNNNNNNNNNNNNNNNNNNNNNNNNNNNNNNNNNNNNNNNNNNNNNNNNNNNNNNNNNNNNNNNNNNNNNNNNNNNNNNNNNNNNNNNNNNNNNNNNNNNNNNNNNNNNNNNNNNNNNNNNNNNNNNNNNNNNNNNNNNNNNNNNNNNNNNNNNNNNNNNNNNNNNNNNNNNNNNNNNNNNNNNNNNNNNNNNNNNNNNNNNNNNNNNNNNNNNNNNNNNNNNNNNNNNNNNNNNNNNNNNNNNNNNNNNNNNNNNNNNNNNNNNNNNNNNNNNNNNNNNNNNNNNNNNNNNNNNNNNNNNNNNNNNNNNNNNNNNNNNNNNNNNNNNNNNNNNNNNNNNNNNNNNNNNNNNNNNNNNNNNNNNNNNNNNNNNNNNNNNNNNNNNNNNNNNNNNNNNNNNNNNNNNNNNNNNNNNNNNNNNNNNNNNNNNNNNNNNNNNNNNNNNNNNNNNNNNNNNNNNNNNNNNNNNNNNNNNNNNNNNNNNNNNNNNNNNNNNNNNNNNNNNNNNNNNNNNNNNNNNNNNNNNNNNNNNNNNNNNNNNNNNNNNNNNNNNNNNNNNNNNNNNNNNNNNNNNNNNNNNNNNNNNNNNNNNNNNNNNNNNNNNNNNNNNNNNNNNNNNNNNNNNNNNNNNNNNNNNNNNNNNNNNNNNNNNNNNNNNNNNNNNNNNNNNNNNNNNNNNNNNNNNNNNNNNNNNNNNNNNNNNNNNNNNNNNNNNNNNNNNNNNNNNNNNNNNNNNNNNNNNNNNNNNNNNNNNNNNNNNNNNNNNNNNNNNNNNNNNNNNNNNNNNNNNNNNNNNNNNNNNNNNNNNNNNNNNNNNNNNNNNNNNNNNNNNNNNNNCUCCUCAAUGUUCUCGCCAACGCUGAGAAGGUUGGUGAUGAUCUUCUGCAAGUGGCUCAAAUGCUCCUGCACGCUCUGUCCCUCAGUCAUCCGCAGUUGGUAAAACUGCCUCCAGAGGAAAAGUGUGUUGGUGAGAGACUUCACCAUGUACAACUCCUCGAGCUUCGACCACAGCACCGUCGGAGAAGUCUCGCUGAGCACAUGGAUCACCACCUCAUCCGCCAGGUACAUGCGGAUGGUACUCACCACCUGCAUCUGUAGCCGUUUCCAAUCCCACACCUCCAUGGUGGUCGGCUUCUCAUCGCACAAGAGAGCAUCGAUCAACCCCUGUUGGAUGAGCACGUCCUUCACCCUUGCCUGCCACAAGGAGAAAUUGCUCUUACCAUCAAACUUGUUGAUCUCCAUCUUGAUUGUUCCUGUUUUCUCCAUCUUCAGUCUUGCUCACCACCGCUGCAAUCUGCAUCCUUGUACCAACCUGGCUCUGAUACCACUUGUUGUGUGUAUGUCGGGUCAGGACACCACCUUUCAAGAUCCUUUCAGUACCACGUGAUGCAGCAGGAAGAAAGAAGAAACAAAAUAAAAAGAAAAAACAAUCAAAAUACGUGGAUCAACCACAAAAAGGCUCGAUGUGGACUGAAUUUCGAGACGUCAAAUCCUAACACAUUGUACUAAAGAUAUUUGUACGGUGAUUUCAGGUACCGAGUAUUUGGUGAUCCACCAUCUCAAAGAGCAGCCGAGGAUCUUGCAUAUGCCGUUGCACGUCUCUUCUCUGCAAAGCAUGGCACACUUGUAAACGACUACAUGGUAAGGAAUUCUUCUAAGCAAUGUUCGUGUUGAGGAAAAAGAGGGAACAUUUUCUUCUAAUUUAAUAUGCGUCACCUCUCUACACAGUAUCAUGAAGGAACCAAUUUUGGAAGGGAAGGUUCUGCAUUUGUGAUGACUCGAUACUAUGAUGAAGCCCUACUUGAUGAAUAUGAUCAGUCUAGUGCAACCUGGAUCCUCCCUAGUUAUUCCCCACAAUAGUGGGGUUUCUCUUUUCCUUCUUGAUAAUAAAUAUAUAUAUAUAUAUAUAUAUAUAUAUAUAUAUAUAUAUAUAUAUAUAUAUAUAUAUAUAUAUAUAUAUANNNNNNNNNNNNNNNNNNNNAUAUAUAUAUAUAUAUAUAUAUAUAUAUAUAUAUAUAUAUAUAUAUAUAUAUAUAUAUAUAUAUAAGUUGCAUUAUACACUCAACUCUUUCUGAUGAAAUUUUGUUCAGGUCUGGACAAGGAGCCCAAAUUUGGACACCUAAGAAACUUGCAUCAUGCAUUGAAAUUGUGCCAGAAGGCUUUGCUUUAUGGGAACCCCCUCUAUCCAAAACCUGGGGAAAGGUUACGAGGUAAGAAUUAACAUUAACAUUUGAACCGGUCACAGAUUUUUAGUUAGCACACACUGGUUGAAUCCUUUCAAAGCCAGAGCUAGCAACAAGGAUUGAAGUCUUCAUCUAGUUGACUAAUUUAAUUGGUUGUAUGGCAUUCUGUCAUCUAAGUGGCAAAACUGUGGUUUGUAUAACAAGGAAUUGCACAAAAUGUUGUUGGUAUAAUGAUCUGGUCUUUCUAUCUGCAGGUUGUGAUAUAUGAGAAACCCAAGGGAAAGGUUUGUGCUGCUUUCCUCACAAACGCCAAUCCAAGAAUAGUUGGGACUGUGAACUUCAGAGAUGUAGAAUACUCUCUGCCUCGCCGUUCUAUCAGUAUCCUACCAGAUUGUAAGGCCGUAGUCUUCAACUGUCAGAGGGUAAUAUGGUAUACCAACUCUACUUGGUCGAUUUUUUUUCUGUAAAGAAAAAGGAAAUCAUAAAGGACAGGCCUAAAUUUAUGUGAUAAAUGCCAGUUGAUAGUUCAUUGUUCAUGUUAACAAGCUAAAUAUGAGUUAUCCAAUAAGUAAGAACUAGUACAGUUUUAUUUAUAUUUUAUCAUUUUGUUAAAGAAAAUAUUUGCAGGUGAGAGUAAUAUCUCUUUUGCGGAUUGUUGCGGUCAAUCUUCUCGUCGCCUGAUCGCCGAAGAUGCACACCUGCAAGAAAAGUCCUCACUGAUCGGAGAUGUCUCCGGUGGAGACCCUCCGAUGCUCAAAUUAGAGAAGAGACUAGAUAAUAGUGAAAAAAAUCAGAAGACUUAGCGAGAGGGAGAGAGCUUACCAACAAUGUUGCCUUACCCCAUUUUAUAGUAGAAUGCGGUAUAGUCCCACCAUUAAUGGUGCAGAUAACUGAGGAGUUAUCAAAUCGUCGGGGGCUAUCAAAUCAACGUGGGUUGUUAAGUCAUCAGGAUUAACCCAUGUUCUUGACAGGACAAUGCCCCAGGACGGUUGCACAGCAUGUCCUUGACAGGACAACAGCCCAUAGCGGUUGUAUGGCGUUUGGACGGACUGGUCGACUAUAUGUCGGUAUUCGACUGCCGAAACGUCGGAUGAUGACUCGAAAAUACCGUCGGCUGAUCUGGUGCCUUGUGAAAGUCGGACGUCGGCUGCCACCCUCGAUAGUGAGUCGGUGAUAUGGAUUCGACCGUUCGAUCGGUUGGAAACAAUAUUAGUCUGUUCGAUCGACAUACCUUCGAUCGGAUAUCGUCGGCAGUCAUUGUCGGAGUCGUUUGUCCGUCCGAUGAAUAGAGUCGGAUAUCGAUCGGAUCGUUUCGAGAUAAGUCGACAUAUAAGGAUCAGCUGGUAUACCCCAACACGGAUGUUAACAGACAACUGCCCAACACAAUGCAAGGACAUUCCAUACA